GUAAUUUAAUAAAUAAACUUAAAACAAAAGAAAAUAAAAAGCAUGUGUCUUCUUCAUUUCUAUCUUCAUCACCGAACAGGAAAUGGAAAACUUCAUUGUUGGCUUCAUAAGCUUCAGCCAAGCCUGAUUCUUCAUGCAUGGUUAGUGUUUUUUAUACCAUUUUUAAUAAAUUUUAUGUUUUUUAGCUCAUAUUAGCUUAAUCUAGUUAGCCCAGGGGUUAAAUUGUAAAAUUGAUAGAUGUUUAGGGAUUUUCCAUGAACGAGUUGCAUGUGUCUAUGAAUUUAAUUGAUAAAUUACUAAGCUUGGUUGUUAAAUAGAAGUAUUUUAUUAAGUGUUUUUUAGUAAUUUUAAUGUUAAAAGGAUUAAUUUGUUAAAAGAGUAAAAUUCAUGGGAUUUAAUGUGAAAUUUUUUACGAGUAUAGGUUGUUUAUGAAUUCUAUAAAAAUCGGCUAACAUGAAUUUUGGCUGAAAAUGGUAAAUUUACAAGUUUCAGGAUUAGGGACUAAAUUGCAAAAAAGGUAAACUUUGAGGGUAAUUUUGUAAAUUUUCAUUUAUAGGGGUUAUAAGCAAAAUUAAUUAUUUUAAAUUCUGGAACGAGAAUAAUUGAAUAAAAAUAUUUAUCUAGAUCAAGAACAACUCGAACAGACACAAAUCGUGGAAAAGUCAAAGUAGCGGAAUAGUGGUUGGUUCGUGUUAAGAAGUCAUUUAUGAGUUCAAGUAAGUUAGUAACUUAGUUAAUUCAAUUAGUUACUGUUUCGAUAAUUUUAAUAUCUAUUUGUGUAUAUAUGUGAAUCAAAUUUGUUGGUUUGAAGGAAUUGAUUAACACCAUAGUUGAAACACACUAUGGCAUUAUACCGGAAUUAAAUAAUACCAUAGUUGAAAGAAACUAUGGCAUCAUACCGAAAACGAGUAAGACCAUGGCUGAAAGAUGUUAUGGCAUCCCGAUUUUAACGAGUAAAACCAUAGUUGAAAGACGUUAUGGCAUCACAAUUCUAACAAGUAAGACCAUAGCUAAAAGACACAAUGGCAUCAUGAACCAGACGGAUAAGACCACGGUUGAAAGACAUUAUGACAACACGACAUAAAAUGAAUAAGACCAUGGUUGAAAGACACCAUGGCAUUCUUCAACCAUUCACUAUUCAGGUAACAUGUUUCGGUUGAGAUAUCUAUUAUUAGUAUGAAUAUGAGAUGAAUGUUUUGACUAGUAUAGUUUAUUAAUGAAUAUUUACACUUUGGUGUGACUAUGUGUUUCAUAUGUUUAUAAAUAUGUUAAUUAGUGAUGUUUGUGGUGUGUUUAGGGAAUUAAAUGGUUACAUGAGUGUUUUCUGAGUAGUCGGUGUUAUUCCAUUUGGUUUAACGAGUAAAUAAAGCUUAAAUGAGUAUAUGAAUAUAUGAAACGAAUCAUGAUUUUGGAUAAUAAAAUGGAUUAUAAUGAUAUGUGUAAUUGCAAGGAAAAUAUGGUUUAUUGUACAUGUAUAAGUGAUGAUUUAUGAAAAGGAGAUGUCGACAUGUUAUAUAACAUGUUUUGUUGGAAUUAUAUGUACAUUGCUCCAGCAACUAAUCAUGUGAGGUGUUGUGUAUAGGAAAGGAAAUUGGGAUUGUGACUAAACUAAAUUAUGCUUGAUUGUCUAAUUUAAUGUAUUCGGUAAGUUUAAGUUUCCUUUAUAUAAGCUUACUAAGCACUAGUUACUUACGUAGUUGUUUUUCUAUAUUUUAUAGAUAAUCGAAAAGCUCGAACGAUUGGAAUCAGCGUUGGAGCACAAUCACACUAUCCAUUGAUCCACUUUGGUAGCUUUUGGAUAUAUUGGCUAAUGGCUAUAAAUAGCAUGUGUAGGGUUGUAUGUUAAUUUGAUAUGUUUUGAAUUGUGCUAAGCUUUGAUAUGCCUCAAUAUCUUUUGUUAAUGGUUGUGCAUGGUCAUUUGAAAUUAGGGGAAAAAAUGGUUAAUUGAUAUAAAUGCUUUGGUAAGUAUAGGGCUUGUUUGUUACCUUGGUCAAUUGGUAAUGUUUUGAGUUGUGUCAAACUUAGGCAUGCUUAAUGCCUUUUGUUUUUAACUUGUAAAUGUCUAUAGCAUAAGUGUAUUAGGGUUUGAUGUUAAUGUGUUAUUUGGAAUGUAUUGAUUUUGCUUAUACCCAUUUAUAGAUAUAAAUGGUUUGGUUUGGUUUAUUUAUCCUUAAACACUUUGGAGCAUGUUCCUUUUUAGUUAUAUCUAAGUAAAUUGGUAAGUUGAUGGUGUAGCCUAAAGAGAAGUGGUCAUUUUGUGUCUAUAUUAUAAAGUUGAAAUGUGAUAUUGAAUCUUUGUUCAUGUGUGAUAUUGUUGACUGAAAUGUGAUACCUUUGACUAGCAUAUUGGCUAGGACAUAUAGGAUGGUUGAUUAAUUGACAUGUUUUAUAUGUGUUUAAGUUGUAAUUAGGUCAUAUGAAUGGGUGAUAGAAAGGUAUGUCUUGGUGUGCAAGCAUAGGUCUUGAAAUGGCUUGUUUUAAGGGCUAAAAUUGGAGCACAUGGCCUAGGACACGGGUUGUUACACGGCCGUGUGCUACACACAACUGCCCUACACGGUCAUGUGUUAUUUUAUUUUCAAGUGCAGGAUACACACAGUCUGGCACAUGGCUUACGACACGGUCGUGUGUCCUAUAAUUUGAAUGCCCACACGGCCUGGGCUAUGUCACACGGCCUAACUACACGGCCGUGUGACCCCUGUUUUACAAAUUUUCAAGCUUGGCCUAAAUUUUUUAUUUGCUUCGAAUAAGUCCCUAAUUACUUUCAAACUGUUUUAAAGGCCCUUUAGACUUAAUUUAAGGCCGUAAAAAGUAUUUUUGCUAUAAUUAAAUUAUUUUAUCAAAUGUUAAUAUAAAAAUUGCAUGUUGAUUUCUGUUUCGAUGUUAAAUGUUUUGAAUUGUAUAGUAAUACUUUGUAACCCUAAUUCGGUAACGAAGACAUGUUAAUAUAUUUUAUAUAAAUUAUUGAACUAUUGAUUUUAAAGUUUAUGAUUUAACAUAAAUGUUCAACAAUGUUAACCAAUAAGACUAACUUUUCAGUUUUCAACAAAUACGAGGAUUACCUCAGAAAUUAAAGUACAAAAUGCUCGACUUAUCAAAAUUCGUAAAGUAAAAAGAUGAAAUCCGUAAUAAGAUAUAAAUAAAAUUUAUAAACUAUAGAUUAUUAAAUAUAAAAAUUAAUAUAUAUAUAUUUAAAAAUAACACAAUUCUUACCUUAGCAACCUAAUUCGCUUUAUGGGGGAGGGGUAUCCAUAAAAUUUUUUCAUUUAUUAUGUUGUUAUAUUUAAUGAGUUUGAAUAUCCACGAAUAAUUUCAUAAAAACCAGGUAGGUGGGAUUGUGAGGGAAUUAUACUAAAUAUAAUAUAAAUGAAAUGGUUUAAUUUUGAAUUUCAUCCUUUACUUUAUGAAAAAUAGAGAUUAGUCAUUUUAUUUUAAUUUAUCAGAAUUUAAUCUUUGCACUCUAAAAACUUAAACAAGAGACGAAUUUAAGAGAGUAGAGAGUGACCUUGACCCUUAUCUAAAAUGGUAAACUUGCUUUUUAAAUCUCUUAAAAACUUAUAAAAUAAAUUAGUAUGAUAGUAAAUUUAUUUUUUGAUCCUUUAAAAUUUUAUAAUUUAAUUUAACCCCUAUUUUGAAUUCGCCUCUGACUUGAACUGCUAGUUUUUGCUGCCAAUUCAUUUCAUAUAAAUUAUUAAACUAUUGAUUUCAAUAAAAUUAACUUUUUAUUUUUCGUAAAAUACAAGGAUUACCUCGCAAAUUGAAAUAAUAAAAAAAUCAAAUUUAUCAAAAUUCGUAAGAUGAAACUGUAAUGAGACAUAAAUAAAAUCGAAAUGAUAUAAAUUAUUAAAUAUAAAAUUAAUAUUUAAACAAUAAUAACAAUAAUAACACGAUUCUUACCAUAGCAACCUAAUUCUUUUGUGCGUGGUUGGCAAAUGGCAAUGGCAUGCUUUGGCUUACGUUUCUCUUAAAAGAGGAAUUAGGAUUUUGUUACUAUCAAACAAUUGAGGCACGAAUAGUGCCUUAACCAACUUCCUAAUAAUAUUGGUUUAAUUGCACCCCUGGUCCCUAUACCAUUUGACUUUUACUUUUUAAAAAAAUUUAGGAUUAGUCAAUAUGUUUGCCCACAAUUAAAAAUUCAAUUCAAUUACUAACAAUAUUAAUGAAAUUUCGUUAAAUUUGAUCAUGUGAUGUUUUAAUAUUUAAAUGUCUAAUUUAAAAAUCAAAAUUCAAUCGAUAAUAUAUAUUUAAAUUUAACAAAAAUCAAUUAACAUCGUUAUCAUCGGACUUCAAUUUUUGAAUCAUAUGAAUAAAAAAGAUAAAUUAUUCUAAUUAAAAGUAAAACUAUUAAUUGGAUUUUAUCUUCUUUUUAAUUUCAAUAAUUUAGUCAAUUUAUUUGUUUAUUUGAAUAAAUGACAUUUUAAUAUGCAAAGGUCUGAUAUCAAAAUCAAAAUCAAAUGGUAAAAACACCUCUCUCGUGCCUCUCAAUCUCAAAAUUGAGCAAAUCGAUCCCUCUAAAAAAAUUAGAGUAAUUUAAUCCCUGUCAAUCUUGAAAGUGAGCAACUAAAGAUAAUUAAUCACAACGCCAAUGUUUAUAUAUUCAGUAUAAAUAUUGUGGGCUACAUUUGUUGACAAAAUGUGUAAAUGUUGUAGGCUAAAUUUGUUAAAUCAAUAUCAAAUUGACAAAAUAUAAACUUUAAGGGCUAAAUUUGUUAUUAUGUCAAUAAAAAUAUGUAUAAUUGACAAAAAAAACAAUGACAUUGUGAGUAAUUGUCCUUGGUUGCUCACUUUUGAUAUUAAUAUGGAUUAAAUUGCUUUAAUUUUUUUAGAGGGACUCAAUUUACUCAAUAUCAAAAUUGAGAAGGACCAAAGAGGUAUUUUUACCAAAAUAAAAAUGAUAACACAUAUUCAAAUUUAACAAAGUUGUCAAUUGGAAUUUAAUUUUUAAAUCAUACAAACAGAUGGACUAAAUUCUUUGAAUUAAAAGUAGAAAGAUGAAAUUUUAAAAGUUCAAAAAGUACAAGGACAAAAAAUAUAAUCAAACCAAUAAUAACUAAUGCAUGAAAUCCUUUUUGCAUGUGAGGACUCUUCAUUGGAUGAGCUGGGUUUGGAAAAUGACUAGCAUUUAGCCUAAAGCCCCUUAGGCACAACCCUUUCGGCAUAUGAUACCAAAACAAUAAACAAAGUUCAAAUUAUUUUUUGCCAUGUUCCUUUCUUAUUGAUUAAUUAAUUCCAUUACCUUUUUUCGAAGCUUUUGACGUUGAUAUUUAAAGAAAAAAAAGAAACACACUAUGGGUUUUUUAUAAAUGUAUUAUAAAAUUAAAAAAAAUUGGAGUUUAAUUUUAGGUUAAAUUCUGUUAUUAGUUCAUGUAUUUUGCGAAAAAUAUUGAUUUAGUCUCUAUACUUUAAUUUGGUUAUUUUUACUAAUUUCAAAAUAUGACGCGGCAAAUAUAUUGUCAUAUUUGUAAUGUCAUGUUAGAUUAUUAUUUUUACAUAUUACUCACUAAAAAUCUUGUUAAUAGAUUAAUGACUAUUAUUUGUGUCAAGGCAGAAUUUUCAAAAUUUAAAAAGUAUGGAGUUUUAGAAUAAUUCAAAUGGAGAAUACAAACUAAUUCUACAAUUGUAUGCAUAGUACAAGACUAGUAACUGAUUUAACAAAACAUAUUUAACUACUACUGUUAGGGUCAAAGCUAAAACUGACCAAUUCAAAAAUUAUAUGGACUAAAAUUGAUUAAUUCAAAUAGUACAAGGACUCAAAUUAAUUAAAUUAAUAUAUAGAAAUUAAAUUCACAACGUUCCCAAUGUAUAAGGACAGAUAGUAGGAUAUAACCUUAAUUUUAUUUUAUUUUUUCUUAAAAUUAUAUGAUAUAAUGAGAAGUUUCAACUCAAUAUAUUUAUAUUAAAAUUAACAUUGGAGUAAGAUCCUUUUAUGCUAAUACGAAAAUACUUACAUAAUUUUUUUACUAUUAAUAAAAUAAUAAAACUGUAUAAAUUUAUUAAUAUAAUUUUAUUUUUCAUAUAUAAAAUUUUAAAUUGAUAUAAUGUUAAUGUAAAAUAUUGUUUACAUUAAUAUAUAUUUAAUUGAUGAAUUUUUUACAUAAAAUAAGUAAAAUUUUAAUUUACACAUGAAAGAUGUACAUGAAUACAACAUAAAAAUUAAAAUAUGAUGGAUGGAUAGAUUUUUAAAAUAUUAAUUAUACAAAAACCAUUUAAAAAUAAUAUUUAUUUAUUUAUUUAUAAAAAGAAUAUUUAAUUAAAUGCAUGUUUUUGUUAAAAGUGACCUCUUUGUAGUUUAACCUAAACCAUUGAAUAAAAUAUAAAAUUGAGUGAGUCUUGUGUCUUGAUCUAAUAGUUAGGGUAUUUAUUAUUACAAGUGUGGUCUGAAUUUGAGUCGUGAUAAUUGUGUUGCUGUCAGGAUUUUGUCUUCCUCCUGCAAUUCACCAAUAUAUAUAUAAAUAUAUAAUUAAGUAAAAUUAAAUGCAAUAAACAUUUUAAACUAAUACCACGUAUUUAAUUAUGUUGACAUAAUUUUUUUCUAUUAUUACAAAAAUAUCAUUUUGCUCGCUUUUUGAUAUACAAAGACCUUUUCACUUCCUUGUUUGACUAUUUCACCCUUUAAUCAUUAAAAUGAUUUACUAUUGUAAGUUAGCUUUUGAAAAAUCAAAUUUAAUUUUUAGUUUUAUUUUUACAUGGUAUAAAAUAAAAUUCCAAAAUAAAUAAAUAAGCAAAAGAAACCUUAUGGAAGAAAACAAUACAAGAACUCCUUGUCUCGAGGCAACCAAACAUCAAAGCUAAAAUAAGGAAAUAGGGGAGGCCUGUCUCGAGACCUAGUCUAGAGACUUAAAGAACCUUGUCUCGAGACAUGUAUUCUAAUAUCUCGAGACAUGCUAACAUCGAAGUAAAAAUUUUGAAAAAUAAAAUAUGGCCCAUCUCAAAUCUUGGAGAUCCUUGUCUCGAGACAUAAUGUUAAAACUUGAAAAUUGAAUUUGAAUUUGAAUCCUAACUCUCAAAUUGACUUAACAUAAUGUACGGAUUAAAUUAUUAAGCACUAUAAAUGUAAAUUUUUGAGUAAAAUGGAUGAUUGAAUUGAUAUGAAUGAUGUUUGUGCAUUGAAUGAUAUGAGUAAAAGUAGGUUAAUCAGAGUUACUUCAACAAUGUAAUGUGACAUCAUACAUUCGAAUCCGGUAAUCUUAGAUACCAAUCUAAUUAAUCUACCUUUUUUGGCAUUUAAUAUGUAUUUUUAUUUUUAUUUUUUAGAUUGAAUGAAUGAAAAAGCGACCACGUAAUCCAAACCAAUUUAAUUUGACCGAACAUAAUUAAUUCUGAAAAUAACAAAAAUAAUGUAAGAAAAACAUGUUAGUGGCACAGAUUCAUUUUCUGGGUCCAGGUUUUGUCUUGGGGUCAUAAGAUUUUGAGAUAACGAGGGACCACUUUUGAAAUAAAAAUGGAAUUGUGGUUAUAAAUUUGUAAUUAUCCAAACGUAAGGGGUGGCCUUCCGCCAUUCCAUUUGCUUAUUGUGGUUGAAUUAUGAUUUUCGUCCCUUUAUUAUGUUAAAUUGAUAGAUUUAAUCACUUUUAUUUUAAUUUGACAUAAUUUGAUCCCUCAAAUUUUAAAAUGUUGUUAGUAGGUACAAACUGAUAAAACUGUUAAAGUGAUGAUGUGUAUUUAUUAAAUUAUGUAAAAUUAGACUUGUUUGAGGGCCGAGCUACUUAUUUUAGCUCAAAGGUCUACCGAAAUUUGGAAGAGUUUAGACAAAAAAUAUUAAACUUGAAAAACAAACUUGGGCAAAAACUUUUAAUUUGUUUAAAUACGGAUUAGGCUCGGACUUCAAUAUUCAAAGCUCGAGUUCAAUAAUAUGUAAUUUAUAUCAUAUGAAGAUGAAAUAUAAUUAUUAAAAUGUAAAUAUUAAAAAAACAUAUGUAAAAUUGUUUGAGUUUAGAAAUUUAAUAAAAGAGCCUUUCAAAAAAUAAAAAAUAAAAAAAUGGUACUAAAAGAAUACAAUUGCUUAACAUUAAAUAUAAUAUAAUAUUUUAAAAAAUAAUAAAAAUAUGGACGGAUUUAAACGAGACGGAGUUAACUAGUUACAAAAUUGAUGAUAUAACUUUUUAAUUCAACAAAUGAUAUUAAUCAAUAUUUAUGUAUCAUUAGUUGAUGUUUAAAAAAAUUAAUACUUAAUAUACUAAUACAAUAAUUUUUUAAUUCCACAAAUAUAUUAAAAAAUUAUCAUUAAUAAAUAAUAAAUGAAUAAUGAGUUCGGAGAACUUUUCUUUUUUCUUUUUAAUGGGUAAUUUGUUUGUAUUUUUUUUUUUUGGUUAGGUGAAAUUGUUUGUAUUUUAACGACUUCUCAUAAUCUACGAAAAGAAAAGAGUCUCAAAUUAUAAGAGUUUCAUAGUGGAACUCGUUUGGUCACCGUCAUGAAAAUGGUGGGUCUUUUUCUAACAUGAUAUGUUCUCGUAAUUCGUUUUUGUUGCAUCCACAAUUUUAAUAUUUUUUAAGUUUAAAUUUAUAAUUUGAUAAGUAAGAUUUUGAUUUGAAUUUUAUAAAUAUAAAAGUAGUGUUAAUUAUAAAUCGUUUAUGGUUUUAAUAUUGAUUAAGUUUAUUUAUUUUAAAUUUUCGUAUUUAAAUUUUAAUAUAUAUAUGUAAUUAUGAUAUAAUGUUAAAUUUAGUUAUUAAUGUAUGCAUCCUUUAUCAAUGUGACCCUUAUUUUUUUCCUGAACUAAAUGUGGGUUUUACGCUUGAAAAAAGUCGAAUUUGACCAUUAAUAGUUGAGUUGCUUUUUUUUAAUAUUCAUUAAAAAUUUUAUAUUUUAAUUAGUCUUUCAUUUUAAAAAAUAAAUUUAUCUUUUUUAGAAAAAGUUAUUUUAAAAAAAUUAAUGAUCAAAUUUAAUUUAAAAAAUAAAAAUUAAAUUAACAAAAAAAGAUAAAUAUUAAAGAUAAUUUUAAUGUUUUCCUUAAAAGUAUAUUAAAAUAAAAAGCUAAAUUAAGUUUGAUAGUUAAUCUAGUAAUGGUUAAAUUAUGAUUUUAACCCAUUUAUUAUUCUUAAUUUAUUUUUAAAAAAAUAUUUAUCGAAACUAAAAAUAAUUAAUAAAAUAGGUCAAACGAACAAUUUAUUUAUCCAAAUAGGUCGAAAGGGAGGCCAGCAGCUGACGACUUUCUCUCAAGUAAUUGUUCCAAUCAAACAUGGAAUAAUGUUGUAAAUGGGUCCCUGAACUUUAUUGAAUUUUUGAUAUGGUCUAAUUACUUUAAAAUUAUAUUUGAAAAUAGUAUUUCACUUUUUUUAAAAAAUUAGAAUAAGAGAUUAUUUGAAAAUAUCAAAUUGAUAUAAAUAUUUUUAUUUUAGUUAUUUUUUUUAAAAGUGUGGUUAAGCACAUAAUACAAUGUUUUUGAAAUAAGACAGAUAGUUAGAUUGGUCAAACUAUUGAUUUUCAACCGGAUUGAUUCGAUCAUGUAGUUGGUUAGUUCGGUUCAAUUGAUCUAUAUUGAUUCGUGAAUCAAUUAGUUCAAUCUCUUUCUCUAAAUCGAUGUACCGACCAGAUUUUAAAAAUAAAAAUUUUUGACUUAGUAUUGACUACCAUCUGGUCAAUAUUGAAAUUUUUAAAAUUUGAAAAAUAAAUGAACUAAAAAUGUCCAAAUUAGAGUAUAAAGACUAAAUCAAUAACUUAUGCAUAGUACAGGGACUAAAAACAGAAAUUGACCCACUUUACGGCACAAGACGCUGUUUAAUCUCGCGAUGCUAACGGACGCUUCCCUCGUCUAUGCGACUGCCUUUCGAGUAAUCCACUUAAAAUAAACAGUGACUCUACGGCUCUUCCUUUCUCUAUCUCUGUUCCAUUUGUUUUAUAUUUUUAUAUUUUCCCCAUUUUAAAAUAUUUUUUUAAAAUAAUGUAUUAUUUUAAUAUUGCAGUAAUUAUUUUAGACUGAUUGGCUCAUUGCUUUUCUCUUCAAUUAUUUUAAAAAGAAAUUAUAAGAACGGUUUUCAGAGCAGUAAAUCACAUUUUUUUCUUCUAACAAUUUCAUUUCAGUGACGAAAUUCGAAAAUUCUUUGAACAAGAAAUGUUGAAUUCGUUAAUUUUUUUCUCCAAUUGAUUUAAUUUUUUUUCGAAAUUUUGAAUCCUAUCGCAUUUUUUUUGAAUUUUGUCUCUUUUUCUUUGAAUUUUGAAGGAAGAAAAAUGGAGUUUUAGUUAUCCAAACAGCGAUGAAAUGAAGCAUUUAACGAUUUCGAAGACUAUUAUCGUCUCCAGAUUUUGUUUUUGAUUUUCUUUUUUGUGGAGUGAUGGGCUGCGUAUACUCGAGAGCUUGCAUCGGCGAGAUUUGCGUGCCGAAGGAUGGUAGAGUUAAAGAACCGCAACGCGGGAGGACAAACGCGGCGGAGAUUGCCGUUUUCUCGUCGACAUCUUCAAACGAAGGUGAAGAAACCAGAGACCAAAUCCACUCUCAGUUAAGCUUGAACCUACCUGGUGACCAGGAGCUUGGCAUCACGCGCCUCUCUAGGGUUUCAUCUCAGUUCCUUCCGGCGGACGGUUCUCGAGCGGUUAAAGUUCCGUCAGGGAAUUACGAGCUUAAGUAUUCUUACUUGUCUCAAAGAGGUUAUUAUCCAGAUGCUUUAGAUAAAGCUAAUCAAGAUAGUUUUUGUAUCCACACUCCGUUUGGAACUAAUCCUGAUGAUAAUUUCUUCGGUGUUUUCGACGGCCACGGUGAAUUCGGAGCUGAAUGUUCACAGUUUGUCAAAAGGAAAUUAUGCGAAAAUUUGUUAAGAAGUAAUAAAUUCCACGUGGACGCCAUCGAAGCUUGCCAUGCCGCGUAUUUGACGACGAACACGCAGCUACACGCCGAUAGUUUGGAUGAUAGUAUGAGCGGAACGACGGCCAUAACGGUUUUAGUUCGUGGUCGGAAGAUAUACGUGGCGAAUUCUGGUGAUUCGAGAGCGGUUAUAGCAGAAAAGAGAGGGAAAGAAAUCGUGGCCGUUGAUUUGUCGAUUGAUCAGACACCGUUUCGCGUUGAUGAGCUGGAGAGAGUUAAGCUAUGUGGAGCGAGAGUGCUUACAUUGGAUCAAAUUGAAGGGUUGAAGAAUCCGGAUGUGCAGUGUUGGGGAACGGAGGAAGGCGAUGAUGGUGAUCCUCCGAGGCUUUGGGUGCCGAAUGGGAUGUAUCCUGGAACUGCUUUUACAAGGAGUAUUGGGGACUCGAUUGCUGAGACAAUUGGUGUUGUGGCAAAUCCGGAGAUUGUUAUGCUGGAGCUUACUGAAGAUCAUCCCUUCUUUGUGCUUGCUAGUGACGGGGUCUUUGAGUUCCUUUCUAGUCAAACCGUGGUUGAUAUGGUAAGGGAAUCAUUUGAAUGUGCGGAAUUUUGAUCAUUAGUGAUUAAACUGAAACUUAGUUGUUGUUACCUGUGAUUUAUGAUUAAUUCUAGUCGGUUAGAUUUCUUAAUUUUUGGUCGGGAACUGGGAUGCUAUUAUAGGAGUUUUUAGGAGUCUGCCUUCUUUUGUUAAUGUUGGACUUUGGAUUUGAGGAAUUGGUAUUCAUAUAUUAUGCGAAUUAGAAAAAUGACUAUUGAAGUACAUUCCAUGAAUUUCUGGUUGUAAAAGGUUCUCUAUUUAUUAUAUUCUUAUUUGUUGCUUAUUUAAGUCUUCCUUUGUGUCUAUGAUAAUGGUAUUUUCUUAAUUCUUCUCAUCAUCUUUUUAUUUAGGAUGAUAUAUUUGUUCUUAUUCUUAGAUAUAAAAUUUGAUGCCUAAUUCAUUUCAUUCUUUAUCUGUAAUUGUCCUUUAUAUUUCAGGUUGCAAAACACAAUGAUCCUCGUGAUGCUUGUGCUGCAAUUGUGGCUGAAUCUUAUCGGCUUUGGCUUCAGUAUGAAACCCGAACUGAUGAUAUUACUGUGAUAGUUGUGCAUAUUAAUGGACUAGUUGGGGUAAGUGAGCAAGCUUUUUGCUCCAGAUGUAUUUCUUGUCAGCAUGGCUAAUUGUUUCUCGUUUGUUUCUCUCAGCAGGCUGGUGGUGAAUCGGCUAACCCUGCUUCUAUUUUACGGCCUCCUGUCCCUCAAGUGUCAGAGGCAACAGGAUCAGAAUCUCCUUUGGCCUUUAGCUUGAGCUCUAGGAACCAGCAAGCAAGGCAUGAUUUAUCACGGGCUCGUCUUCGUGCUAUUGAGAGUUCGUUGGAGAAUGGGAAAAUCUGGGUUCCGCCACCUCCAGCUCACAGGAAAACUUGGGAAGAAGAAGUAAGCCUUCUGUUCUAUUCCAUUAGUUUUGGAUGCGUUAAAGGGUUUCCUGACAAAACCAUUCUACUGUCUCGUUUUAUGAUGAUGUGUUACAGGCGCAUAUAGAGCGGGCAUUGCACGACCAUUUCCUCUUCAGAAAACUAACUGAUUCGCAGCGUCAUGUUUUAUUGGAUUGCAUGCAAAGAAUUGAGGUUCAGCCAGGGGAUAAUGUGGUUAAACAGGUUAGUUUUUUAAUUUUCUCUUAUUCUUUUGUUGCUACUAUUUUAUUUAAUUCUGAUGUUGUUCCCUUACUGCAUGAGCAAACAUGUCUUGAAAUCACAUUAUUGCUUCGUUGCUAUCAUGUAAGUUAUGAAUAACCCAAGCGAAGAUGCCACUUUACUAGUGAUCAGUAGGAAGCAAUUGCCAGCAGUAAAUCCAAUGAAUGAGCUGCUGAUAUUAAAACCAUUAGGUGUCAAAGAUCCAAACUUCUCCUGCAUAUAAGCGUGCUUUCUGCCUCUGGUGGCUAGUUUGGUUUGAAAUUGAGGUUCUUUUUGACAAAGCUGAACCCUGGUUCAAUGACCUUGAUUUCUCAUGCAAGGACCUGAGUAGCUAAUAUCUUAAAUACAGGUCAAGAUGAAGUUGUUUGCAUGGUUGCAAUUGAAGUUAGUAUCCUAAUUGUUGUUAUAUUUUGUAGGGUGGUGAAGGUGACUGCUUUUAUGUUGUGGGAAGCGGAGAGUUUGAGGUCUUGGCAACCCAGGUUUGUUUGUUUGCUUUGAUCAUUAUAUAUAUAUAUUAUAUUUGGUAUCUUUCAUGUCUGUUUGCUGUUCAUGUUCGGGGUUCAUGGCUGUCCCUCUCAACAAUGUCGUUUCCGAGGUUCAGACCUGUGUUCUCUUCUUGGCAAUGCAAUUUGCCUUGCCACUACGCCCAACGCUUAUCGGUUGCUUUGAUCGUUAUAUGUAAUGUUGAUUAUAUUACCUGUUAUCUAUGGUUAAACCUAUCAAAGUUCUCAAGGGCCCGAGCUUGUUUUAUGGAAUUUGAACUUAGCCUCAGCUCAAAUAUUUGCAUCCUUAUUGUUGUUCAAAGCUCAAGAUUGUCCUGUUCUAUUUCUCCGUUAUCAAAUUUUCUUUUUUGUUUUUAUUAAUGGGUUCUUAGUUCAUGGAUGAUUGUUUAUUUUUAGUGAGAUUUAAGUUUUCAUAAGAAACUAUUCUUGCAGGAAGAUAAAAAUGGAGCGGUGCCAAGGGUUCUGCAACGGUAUACAGCUGAUAAGUUGUCAUCGUUUGGGGAGCUGGCACUGAUGUAUGUUUUCUUCUCUUCUCCUUUCUCACCUCAUAGUAAAUGAAGAACUCUCUAAUAUAUUUUUUGAAGUUGACAUUGUUUUGCUUAGUAAAAAUUGAAACGCACAUUUAUUUUUAUUUUUAAAAAAGAAAUGCACAUUUGGAAAGCUUAUUGAGAAUUUCUACGGAGUAGCAAACCAAAAUUAGGUUAACAUGUUACCAACAUUUAUUUGGAGUAGUAACAAAGCAAAAAUCCACCGAAUUUUCUUAACACCUACGACCUAUCAAUCACUAUUUUGGUGCAUUUUUAGUUUUCACAUGUGGUGUGUGUGAAACCUGCUGGUUUCUUGAAUUAGGGUUAUUUUACUUUUCUGGCUAAUUGUGUUGUACUACUUACCUUGAUAAUUUGUUUUAUCGGUAUACAGGUACAAUAAGCCUCUCCAAGCCUCUGUGCUUGCUGUGACAAGUGGAACUCUCUGGGCUUUGAAACGAGAAGAUUUUCGUGGAAUUUUGAUGUCUGAAUUUUCUAAUUUGUCAUCCUUGAAGUUGCUCCGUUCCGUCGAUCUUCUAUCAAGGUUAACAAUUUUACAGCUGAGUCAUGUUGCAGAUUCUCUUUUCGAAGUUUCCUUCUCUAAUGGGCAGACCAUAUUUAAUAAGGUAGAAGUUUUCCUUCCAAUGUUAUAUUUCAUUUUCUGUGUAUUAUUUUUGGUUCAUAUUCUUAUUUUGUAUAUUUCUCUUGCAUAUCUGCAGAAUGAAGGCCUCUCAGCAUUGCACAUUAUCCAGAAGGGCCAAGUGAGGAUUACUUUUGACAGGGAUUUGUUAAGCAGCCCAAAUGUCUGCAGUCUCAAGUCUGAUAACCCCAACGAGGAUGAUGAUCAGCAGACGGGGAAAGACCUGUCUGUUGAAAAGACAGAAGGAAGCUAUUUUGGGGAAUGGACGCUUCUUGGUGAGCAGAUGGGUUCUUUAAGUGCAGUUGCAGUGGGUGAUGUCAUGUGUGCUGUUUUGACGAAGGAGAAGUUUGAUUCAGUUGUGGGUCCUUUGACAAAGCUUUCCCAGGAUGAUCAGAAGUAUGUCUUAGUCUAAUGCACUGAAUGCUGCAUCUUUGUUUUCCUCCUUUUUUCUGUUAGAAUGCGUUUCAUUUUAUAUUUCACAUAAACCUUCCAUUUUAGAAUCUGUAAGCUUUUAGAAUUCUCUAACUGAACAACAAUGAACUUUUUAUUCCUUCUCUUCUCAUUUGAAUGUUUAAUACUUUGUUUGAGAAUGAUAUUGUUGUCUUCAUUGCCAUUUAGGAUUAGAGACUAUCCUCUAGAUGCGAUCAAGGAUUCUUCCAAAGAAAUUGAUAUUUCAAGUCUUGCUAAAGUUAGCUUCACUCAGUUGGUAAGAAGUGCUUAGUUCUACCUCUGCCUUGUGGCUAAUGUAGCAAAAUGUGAUCAUCAAGAGAACAAAUCCUAAACUCUGCUAAUGGCAUAUGCAGGAGUGGAGAACAAGUUUAUAUUCCACUGACUGUAGUGAGAUUGGGCUUGUACUUGUAAGAGACUCAGGUUGGUUAUAUCUGUGUAUUUACUUUUCCUCUCAUUUUAAAUUAAAAAAAGACGCCUUUUCUUGUGUAACAAGUUUAGGCUCAACAGUUAACUGACAUGCGAUAUGUAGACUGAUUAUGCAUGCUUAUAUUAACUGACCAAGGCAUGUCAGUUGCAUUAUGGGAGUAUAGGAAAAUAAGCAUGUUAGGUGCUAUCUGCUAUGUUGUGUUUUUAAGGAACUUGUUAUGGAACAACUGAUAAAUAUUUUUUUUUUGUGCGAAAUGGAUUGAUUACCAGAAAAAAUCCUUAGUUUGAAGAGGUUUUCAAAGCAGAAGGUAAAAAAACUAGGAAAAGAAGCCCAAGUUUUAAAGGAGAAGGAUCUGAUGAAGAGCAUGAGCUCUGCAGUUUGCAUGCCGGAGAUUUUGUGCACUUGUGCUGAUCAAAUGCAUGCUGGAAUUUUAUUGAAUACCUACCUUGUCUGCCCUUUGGCUUCUAUACUUCACACUCCUCUAGAUGAACAAUCAGCACGGUUCUGUGCUGCAUCUGUUGUUACUGCUUUAGAAGAUCUACACGAGGUGAUUUUCUAGCAGUAGUUUUCUUCCACUUCAUUUCCUCAAUUCCUUGUGUAUCUGUAAUUUAUUUUAGUUUGUCGUUAACACCCACAUUUCAUUUGAAUUUCAGAAUGGUGUCCUUUACAGAGGAGUCUCUCCGGAUGUUUUAAUGUUGAACAAAACAGGCCAUUUACAGGUUGGUACUAUUGUAUGCUGUGUUAUAGUUUGGGCUGACUUUUAUCUUUAAAUUACUAUUAAGUUUACACAUAAUCAAAGGUCUCCCUUCUCUUUUACAUAUGAAGGGUGGCAAAUCACGAGCUAAGCUUAGUUAUUUUAUUUUGUUAUGUUGCAUUGCAGCUUGUCGAUUUCAGAUUUGGGAAGAAGUUAUCUAGUGAGAGAACAUUUACAAUUUGUGGGAUGGCAGACUCUUUAGCACCAGAGGUAAUUCAGGGAAAGGGCCAUGGUCUUCCUGCUGACUGGUAAAAAUACAUCCUGUUCUCCAUUUGUCUGGUUGUCAUAAACCUCUUCCUGCUAUAUUUUUCAUCUAAAUGAACAGAAUUGAUUAGCUCAAAAUAACUACACUGCUAGCUUGUUAAAGAACAUGAUUUGGGUUUAUAAUGGAGAUUAAUUAACAAUGUCACAAAGAAAGGAAUUUUAAUUUAACCAUGAAGGUUUGGUUAGUGCAUCAGAAAUGUCUACAGGAUGUUUUUGUUGGCUUACUGAAGGGUGCAGUGGUAAGGCACAUUGCACUGCCAAGAGAGAACUCAGGUUUGAACCUUGGAGAUGACAUUGUUGAGAGGGGCAGCCACGAACCCCAAAAGGAUUAGUCUUCAUGGACUGUAAAACAGACAUAAAGGAUACCUUGGUCAUACCAAAAAAGAGGGAAAUUCAUCUUUAGUUUGUUCCUUUACCUGCCACUUAAUAUACCGUAGGUUUUCCUAUUGUAGUUCUUGAAAGUUUUCAUGUGGAUUUUAAAGAACAUCGAAGAUGGAGGACCUUUGGGUAGGAUGUGCAGUCCUAAUUUACUAUUUCUUACCAGUGGGUUUGAAAGAGUUUGUGCAGUUUGAUGACCUUUUUUUCCUCUCGGCUUUCUUCUAUGAAAUUAAUCUUUUGAAACAUGCAGGUGGUCCCUGGGAGUCCUAAUCUAUUUCUUGCUUCAAGGUGAAAUGCCAUUUGGAUCGUGGAGACAAAGCGAGCUUGAUACAUUUGCAAAGAUUGCAAAAGGACAGUUUACAUUGUCGCAGAAUUUAAGCCCUGAAGCUGUUGACCUAAUCACUAAGGUCUUUUCAUUACCAUUUCUUAGAUACCUCAUAGAAAUCAUGGGAUCGCUCACAUGUUUGUGUUAAAAUAAUUUUUCAGUUGCUUGAAGUUGAUGAAAACGUAAGACUGGGAAGCCAUGGUUCUGAUUCUGUCAAAAAUCAUCCGUGGUUUGAUGGUGUUGAUUGGAAAGGAAUCAGAGAUCAAAGUGUUCCUGUUCCUCACGAGUUAACUUCUCGUAUAGCUCAACGUUUAGAAAGUCAUAAUGAAGAGUGCCCUGUUGCCGUUACUUCCCCGACCCAAGAUAUAGCAGUGCUCAAUGAUCCGGAGUGGCUCGAUGAAUGGUAGAAGAAUGACCUAUAUAGUUUCUCCUUCGGUCUACAUUUUGCCAAUAGUUUGCGAGUUGAUUUCCAUUCGACAUGAUCAAAAUGACUACUGGAUUAUCGGAAACUGGAGCAGAGAAAUCAUUGCAAUAAAGUCAAUUGUAAAGUUGAUGGCCUUAGAUUGCUCAAAAUUCUGUCAUUUUUUGGUGCUCAGUUGCCACAUUAGCCGCAUCUAACCAAUUCAGUGGAUAGCUCAGUUAAUAGGUUUUUUUUUUUUUUUUUUUUUAAGAUCUUCAAUUUUUACAUAUUUCCCACUUUUGUAUAUAGGUAAAUAUGUAAAUGAGGGUUCCUUGUACUUCAGGCUUCCACUUCACUUUACCGGUGGCAGUAGAUAGUUAAUUGGCGGGGUUCGGCCAAUUAGGUCGAUAUAGAUGUAUUGGCAUAUCGACACCACAUAGGAUAUGUUGAUUGACAUCUGUAAUUCUUAUUUCAAAGUUACUCGAUCAUUUGUACUGUUUUCUACCGACUUUUAUUUAAAUGAAACCUAGUUUUCUCUUGCAAACCAAUCCCCUCUUUCCCCAAGAUAUAUAGAUAUAUAUUUCUAUGCGCAGAAAGGCCUGCUCGUAAAAGGAAAAUACUCCAGGGCACUUUCGAUCAAGUUCACCAGCAAGAGUUGGGGAGAAGACAAGGAAAGAUUGCAGGUGAGGUCCUUUUUCUAUGCUUAAUUCAUGGAGUUAAAGCAUGCAUUGUUUCUGGUUAUACUUGCUUUUGGUGUGUUUGAAACUGGUCAUAUCUGAUUAUCUUAUUCACAGAGGGAAGUUGCUUCAACGAGAAAGAUAGUUGAGUGGACUUUUCUCACUUCUCAACCAAGUUUUAGAGGAACCUUAUCACCUUUAUGAAGUUCACUGCCAAUGAUGUUGACCAAAUGACUUUGAUGAGAAGAUAAGAUUUUUGUUUUUGACAAUAUGUAAAGAAAAACAGUCUGGCAUGGAAUAUAUGCUGUUAUUCGUUAGUUUUUACUGUUGAAUUUUAUCUUCUGCAUUAAUAAUUGGUUGCAUCUGAGAUUUUGACAUCGGAAAGCACUGAGACUGGGACUUAUACAAGUUGUUCUGUGUAGUUUAGUACUUCAGUUCUCAACUUCUCCAGUUCCGACUUGGAUGCUGGCUAUUUGAGGCUCUUCCCCGAAGGAUAACACGGCUACUUGAAACAAUGAUUUGCCAAAGUUAUGAACAACAAUGAUCUUUGUGUCACUUUUUUGAUACCAUAAGAUGCCUCACAGCAAUAAGUGGCUCUGAUAUCAAAUGUCACGGCUUACAUCAACGUGUAAGGUAUCGGUCUAACGUUGUUGUCUGCAAAAGACGUUUCAUAAGUUAAAGCUGAUGUGACCAUUUAUAUCCCAUUCUUUGGGUUUUUUACCUAAUUAGGAUAGAAAAAAAAAAUUUACUGAAAUAGUAUGUCAGAAAAAAAAAUUACCAAAAUGGGUUACUUUUUCAUUGGAGCCUAUUUCGUAGGAGCCAAUGAAUAAAAUAAUAAUAAUUUUUUUUUAAUAAAAUAUAAAAUAUACUUUUCUGGGUUAGUAUAUAACUCGUAUAAUACAUAGUAUUGGCGCCUAUUUGGAAGGCUCCAAUGGUGGUGCCUAUUUGGGAGGCGCCAAUGGUGGUGCCUAUGUAGCAGGCGCCAAUGGUGGUGCCAUAUUAGAAGGCGCUAAUGCUGUGAUUUUUCUCUAUAAAUACCCCCAACACAGACAUAAAUUUGACUACAAAAACGGAAGAAAGAAGAAGGAAGGAAGCAGAAGAAAAGAAGGAAGGAAAAGAAGAAAAAAGUAGGUAUUUUGGUUUUUUUUUAAAUAGAAUGUAGAGUUUUGUUAGUAAUUUUAUUAUUCGAAAGUUAUUUUGCCAUGUUAUUAAUUUUGUUAGUUUCUGAAUGAAAAAUUUUACAUUAAAAUUUUUAUGUAUUUUGUUUACAUUUUGAAACUGUUUUAAGAAAUUUGAAAUUAUUUUUUUACAGAUCUAGUAUUGAAAAUGGAGAAUCAGUUUUUUGUAUGCGUUUAUUUCGAUGGAAAAAUUUUAACAACUGUGGGAUGUAUAUUUGAAUGUCGCAAACAAGUAGCAAUGAGAUUUGAUAGAAAUAUCUUGUUUGAUGAUAUGAAGGAAAAAAUUAGUGAAAAAAUUUAUAGACGUUGUGGGAGAAGGAUAUCAAAAGUUUUCUACAAGUUUCCAGUAUCAACAGAUCCAAUAAAAUUUACCGAAAUGGAACUUGUAGACGAUGAAGACGUGGAAACAAUGGUCGCUCUUUAUUGUGGGACUUCGAGUAACAAAAAUGCACCGAUUCAGUUAUUUGCUGAGUUAGCCAGUGUGGAGGCAACUGAAGAUCCCACUCCAUUAGGUGAAGAAGAUGGAGUUGAAGCGCCGUGUAUGGUGGUUCCGGUAUCGUAUGUUGAUAGUCAAUCACCUAUACAUGGGAUAAAUAUUGAUCUUAAUGCUGCAGCCGAGACUGAUGUGGUUGGUGAUGAUGUAUACUAUAGUAGUGAUCUUGUUGAUUACGAAGUGGAUAGUGAGAGUGAUCCCGACGCAGACGAGGUCCCGGAUGAUAUUGACGACAAAGGGGUGAAUGAGGAUGAAAAUUUUAAUGCGUCUUCAGUCGGAAACCAGAUUCGUCGUAUUGUGAUACACAAUAAUCCUGGGGCACACAUGUCUCGGAUAGACCCCGAUGCGGCACGGGCAGCUGAGUUUUCGGAGUACCCUGAAAUACCACAUGGUUACCGAAUGGGCGUAUAUUCUGAUCCAGAUGAGUUGCGCGUGGGCCAGAGAUUUGAAAGUAAGGAAGAAUGUAUGUUUGCAAUUAAGCGGUAUAGCAUGAAUAUAUCAGCAGAUUACAAAGUCAUCGAGUCUAAACCAACAUUAUAUAUUGGAGAGUGUUGGAGGUCGGCAGAAGGUUGCAAUUGGCGGGUACGAGCUGCAUUUAUGCAGAAGUCGCAGAUGUGGGAAAUACGAAAAUUUGUGGAGCCCCACACAUGCACUUCAACACGUAUGACAGAAAAUCAUCGAAAACUUGACUCCAAAACUAUCUGUACAUGCAUCAUGCCAAUGGUGAAAGACAUGCCGACCAUUAAAGUUUCGGUACUGAUUGCUGAAAUACAAGCACGAUUCCAGUAUCGAGUAUCAUACCGGAAGGCAUGGAUAGCUAAACAGAUGGCAAUGGAGCAAUUGUACGGAGAUUUCGAUGCAUUGUACAAUGAAUUACAAGGAUGGAUAGCCGCCAUGAGGGAACACGUGCCGGGGACUGUAAUUGAGUUGCAGACACGAUCUUAUGACGGUCCAAAUGACCAACUACAAUCGAGAAAAAGAAUUUUCCAUCGGAUGUUCUGGACUUUUGAUCAAUGUGUACGCGCAUUUCCCCACUGCAAACCAUUUGUGCAAGUAGAUGGAACCUGGCUAUAUGGAAAGUACACACAGAUCUUACUUCUUGCGGUUGCUCAAGACGGCAACAGGAACGUACUCCCGAUAGCAUUUGCCAUCGUCGAUAAGGAGAACAUGGAAUCGUGGGAGUUCUUUCUUACCAACCUGCGGAGGUAUGUGAUUAGCAAUGAUAAUAUUUGCAUCAUUUCCGAUAGAGGAAAAGGAUUAAUUGCAGCCAUUAGGCGUUCUGGUGUACUAUGACGAUCUGUUUACUGCAUCCGGCACAUCGCGGCUAACUUCCAGCGAGAUUAUAAGAAUGCAGACUGGAAGAGACAAGUUGUGAGAAUGGGUAAAGAAUUACCUUAUCUUUUAAAUAUAAGUUUUAAUGUUUUAGAGCAAUACUGUAACUUAAAAUUUUUUUAAUACAUAUGCAGCGUACGAGCUAGAGCCACACAUUUUUCGCCAAAAAAUGGCCCGGCUUGAGAGUGACAUGGAGGGUCAAACCAACACAUCUUUUCGGCAGUGGCUGGGGACCAUGGAGCCGUGGCAAUGGGCUCAAAGUUUUGACGAGGGCUUUCGUUAUGGUCAAAUGACUACAAACUUAGUGGAGGGGAUCAACGCUGUGUUAUUAAAAACACGGCAUCUUCCAAUUUCAUCUGUCUUCUCGGUAACGUUCUUCAGGUUGGCUACCUUGAUGCCAAGAAUGGGUCAGCAACAAGUGAACCAGAUGGAGGCGGGCCAUGUCUUUGUCGAAGGCAUUAGGGAUGCAAUGGUUGUAAACCGUCGAAUGGCGAGGUCGAUGACAGUAGAAGUAUAUUCACGACAUAAUGAAACGUUUCGAGUUACAGAGACCAUCGGUUGUCGACCCAGUAUACCACCUAGAUCCUACGGAGUUGAUCUUCGAAAUAGACGGUGCGAUUGCAGAAGGUUUUAAACACUUCAUUUUUCAUGUGCACACGUCGUGGCAGCUUGUGCUAAAGUUGGGCUCAAUGUAGAACAAUUUAUCGAUGAAGUGUACACCAUCGAACGCACGUUGCGUGUAUGGGAAAACGAGUUCCCCGUGCUUCCUGACCUAUCUACUUGAGAGGUACCUCCGGCGACCUUCGAGCUAGUCCCAGACAUAAGGUUGCGUAGAAACCUGAAAGGUCGUCCGCAAUCAUCCAGAAUCCAUAACGAAAUGGACAUUAGGGAGAAAUCUGACGGCAAUUUGUGUGGCGUAUGCAGAUUACCCGGUCAUAAUCGGAGUAAAUGCCCUCUUCGAAACUACCAUGUUGGACAAUCGUCUCAAUCGAGUAGAAAUUGAUAUGUACUUCAUUACAUAAAUAUGGUUUGAAUCACAAAAUUGUCUACAAUUUCUUGCAGUUAUGGAGACAUUUUUAAACCAUUGUAAUUUUAUUUAGAUAAGAACUAUCAUUACAUAAAUAUGCGAGUGUUAUGCAAAUUGGAUAAUAAGGGUAAGUACAUCAAGUGGACCUUACUGUCGUUUGCAUCCGGCAUGAGUACACCCCCUAUAAGGUGCAUAAUGUAAGCUCGAACAGCCUGCAUCACCUCCCAUUCAUUAGCAGUACUUGGCAAAUGCUCAAAAUUGGCAUGUAGCCAUGAAAAUCUCAAACUGGUAAAUUUCCCCUGACUUGGCGAGCGUCCAAGUAAUUCAUUGCAAAGGGUAGCCGGCCUAGAGAUUGAACUUACGCCCGUGACCGCAUUCCCGUCUAUGGGAAGCCCGAGCUGUAGUGCAACAUCCUCUAGAGUGACGGUACACUCUCCGCACGGCAGAUGAAAUGUGUGGGUCGCCGGACGCCAUCGCUCGACUAAAGCGGAAAUCAAGUCGUAUCGCAGUUCAAAAGUCCGAAUCAAUGCCGCAGAUCCGAACCCGACUAACUCUAAGUAUGGUAUUAGGCGUUCAUCUGGCUGAAACCCUACACUAUUAACACGGCCCCUCAAUGCGCGGUACGGACCCUGACAUUAUUAAAUUAGCAAAAUAGUUAAUACAAUAUAAUUUAAUUCAACAAAUAACAUGAAUAUCAAAAACAAAUUUUAUUACCAUCUCAUUAAUAGUACUUGAUAUGUGAUUAUUAUUAUUAAUUAGAGAACCCAUUUUCUGCAAAUCUGCAAUAAAAAAAAUGAAUUCAGUUAAUUUGUUUCAAAAAAUCAAUAAUUUCUGUUAAAUAAAUACAAUAUCAAAUAAAAUUUAUUUAUAUAGAAGUUACAUUAUAUAAAAAUUAAAUGAGUUAACAACAACUAUAUGAUUAAAAAAGUCAGUUAUAAUUAAACUUUUAAUAAAAUGAUUUUUAAUUUAUUUAUAAUUAAACUUUUAAUGAAAUGAUUUUUAAUUUUUUUAUAAACUUUAUAUGUUAAACUCACCAAAUACUAAACUAAACACAACAACUUAUAGCUUAAUCCUAAAUUACUAAUAAAUUAAAUUUAAAAUAAUUACAAACACAAAAUAUUGUGAAUUUUUCCCAAAUUACUAACAAAUUAAUUAUAAAAUAAUUACAAUAUUCAUACAAAAAAUUACAAUAUUACAAUAUAUCCCCACAUUACAAUAUUCAUACAAAAUUACAAUAUUACAAUAUUCAUACAAAAAAAUUGCAAUAUUCAUACAAAAUUAUAAUAUUACAAUAUUCAUACAACAUUACAAUAUUCAUAAAAAAAUUAUAAUAUUCAUACAAAAUUACAAAACUACAAUAUUCAUACAAAAAAAUUGCAAUAUUCAUACAAAAUUAUAAUAUUACAAUAUUCAUACAAAAAAAUAUAAUAUUCAUACAAAAUUACAAAAUUACAAUAUUCAUACAAAAAAAUUGCAAUAUUCAUACAAAACUAUAAUAUUACAAUAUUCAUACAAAAAAUUUAUAAUAUUCAUACAAAAUUACAAUAUUCAUACAAAAAAUUACUAAUCCAAAACUAUAAAUACAAAUUUAAUUAUAAAAUAAUUACAAUAUUCAUACAACAUUACAAUAUUCAUAAAAAAAUUAUAAUAUUCAUACAAAAAAUUUAAAAUAUUCAUACAAAAUUCUAAUCUAAACUAUAAACACUAAAUAUAGAUAAUUUAUAAUUAAUAAUUAAUAAAAAAAAUUCACAAUAUUUUCUAAAAUAUAUCCUAAAAAUUUCACAAACUAUAAACCUUUUAAAUUAUAAACAAAAUUAUUUAUUAAAAAAAUACAUUACCUUUUUUCUUUCUUUCUUCUUCUCCUCUUCUUCUCCUUUCUCUCUUUUUUUUUUCUAUACCGUGUGGACUGAUUUUGGGACCAUUUGCUAUUACUUAUAGCAAAAAUAAAAGCUUAUGAAGGGACAAUUCACUAGCACCAGCAGCAGCAUGCAGGGGGGGCUGACACCCAUUGGCGCCUCUCUAUCAGGCUCCUUCAUUGGCGCCUACUUGAAAGGUGCCACCCGACCCGACCCGUAUUUUUGCUCGUAUUUUUUUCAAAAAAAUAUUAAAAAAAUAUAAAAUUAUAUUUUAUUAAAAAAGAUUAUUAUUUUAUUCAUUGGCGCCUACGAAAUAGGCUCCAAUGAAAAAGUAACCCAUUUUAGUAAUUUUUUUCUGACAUACUAUUUCAGUAAUUUUUUUUUCUAUCCUAAUUGGGUAAAAAACCCCCCAUUCUUUAGUAUAUAGCCAAUAUGAGAUUUAUAACUCUUCUUUAGGAUUACGACACUUGUAUACACGAGGAUGCGAAGGGGAGAAUCCCCAAAAGAGAGACAAAGUUGUUGCUGUACUUAGCUUGUCCCGAGUUCGUACAAGAGGUCACCGGUAGAGAGGAGACAAUCCAAGGGUUACUUGAUGGGUUCAAAGAUAUUUUAGGUAAGGCAAAGCUGUUUAGCGGGUUUUUUACCCAAUUAUGAUAGAAAAAAAAAUUACUGAAAUAGUAAGUCAGAAAAAAAAUUACCAAAAUGGGUUACUUUUUCAUUGGAGCCUAUUUCGUAGGCACCAAUGAAUAAAAUAAUAAUAUUUUUUUUUAAUAAAAUGUAAUUUUAUAUUUUUUUAAAUAUUUGUUUGAAAAAAAUACAGGUCAAAAAUACGGGUCGGGUCGGGUGGCGCCUCUCAAGUAGGCGCCAAUGAAGGAGCCUGAUGGAGAGGCGCCAAUGGGUGUCAGCCCCCCCUGCAUGCUGCUGCUGGUGCUAGUGAAUUGUCCCUUCAUAAGCUUUUAUUUUUGCUAUAAGUAAUAGCAAAUGGUCCCAAAAUCAGUCCACACGGUAUAGAAAAAAAAAAGAGAGAAAGGAGAAGAAGAGGAGAAGAAGAAAGAAAGAAAAAAGGUAAUGUAUUUUUUUAAUAAAUAAUUUUGUUUAUAAUUUAAAAGGUUUAUAGUUUGUGAAAUUUUUAGGAUAUAUUUUAGAAAAUAUUGUGAAUUUUUUUUAUUAAUUAUUAAUUAUAAAUUAUCUAUAUUUAGUGUUUAUAGUUUAGAUUAGAAUUUUGUAUGAAUAUUUUAAAUUUUUUGUAUGAAUAUUAUAAUUUUUUUAUGAAUAUUGUAAUGUUGUAUGAAUAUUGUAAUUAUUUUAUAAUUAAAUUUGUAUUUAUAGUUUUGGAUUAGUAAUUUUUUGUAUGAAUAUUGUAAUUUUGUAUGAAUAUUAUAAAUUUUUUGUAUGAAUAUUGUAAUAUUAUAGUUUUGUAUGAAUAUUGCAAUUUUUUUGUAUGAAUAUUGUAAUUUUGUAAUUUUGUAUGAAUAUUAUAUUUUUUUGUAUGAAUAUUGUAAUAUUAUAAUUUUGUAUGAAUAUUGCAUUUUUUUGUAUGUUAAUAUUGUAUUUUGUAUUUUGUAUGCAUAUUAAUUUUUUUAUGAAUAUUGUAAUGUGUAUGAUAUUGUAAUAUUUAAUUUGUAUGCCUUGCAUUUUUUUGUCUGACUCUUGUAAUUUGUACUUUAUAUGCUAUUGUACUGUGGGUUAUUGUACAUUUGUUAAUUUUUUGUAUGAAUUGGUCAUUAUUUUAUAAUUUUGUUAGUAUUUGUUUCUUUUGUGUUUGUUUUUUUAAUUUCUUUAUUAGUAAUUAGGAUUAAGCUCUAAAGUUGUGUGUUCGUUUAGUAUUUAGUGAGUUUAAACCUAUACCGUUUCUAAACAAAAUUAACAUCAUUUCAUAAAAGUUUAAUUAUAUAAAAUAAAAAUCAUUUUUUAAAAAUUUAUUAUAACUGACUUUUUUAUCAUAUAGUUAUUGUUAACUCAUUUACAUUCUUUUAUAAUAUAUGUAAAUUCUAUUAUAAUAAAUUUUAUUUGAUUUUGUAUUUAUUUAACAGAAUUAUUGAUUUUUUGAAACAAAUUAACUGAAUCCAUUUUUUUAGUGCAGAGUUUGCAGGACAUGGGUUCUCUAAUUAAUAAUAAUAAUCACAUAUCAAGUACUAUUAAUGAGAUGGUAAUAAAAUUUGUUUUUGAUAUUCAUGUUAUUUGUUGAAUUAAAUUAUAUUGUAUUAACUAUUUUGCUAAUUUAAUAAUGUCAGGGUCCGUACCGCGCAUUGAGUGGCCGUGUUAAUAGUGUAGGGUUUCAGCCAGAUGAACGCCUAAUACCAUACUUAGAGUUAGCCGGGUUCGGAUCAGCGGCAUUGAUUCGGACUUUUGAACUGCGAUACGACUUGAUUUCAGCUUUAGUCGAGCGAUGGCGUCCGGAGACCCACACAUUUCAUCUGCCGUGCGGAGAGUGUACCGUCACUCUAGAGGAUGUUGCACUACAGCUCGGGCUUCCCAUAGACGGGAAUGCGGUCACGGGCGUAAGUUCAAUCUCUAGGCCGGCUACCCUUUGCAAUGAAUUACUUGGACACUCGCCAAGUCAGGGGAAAUUUACCAGUUUGAGAUUUUCAUGGCUAUAUGCCAAUUUUGAGCAUUUGCCAAGUACUGCUAAUGAAUGGGAGGUGAUGCAGGCUGUUCGAGCUUACAUUAUGCACCUUAUAGGGGGUGUACUCAUGCCGGAUGCAAACGGCAGUAAGGUCCACUUGAUGUACUUACCCUUCUUAUCCAAUUUGCAUAACACUCGUUCAUACAGUUGGGGGUCCGUAGUUUUAGCCAUGCUGUAUCGCGAACUUUGUCGGACAACAGCUCCUUCUGCGGUUGACAUGGGCGGAUGCCUCAUACUGCUGCAGUCAUGGGCACUUUACCGGAUGCCAUUCUUGGCAUCCAUUAGGCAUCAAUCAUAUGUAUUUCCACUCGUUAAUAGGUGAUGAAUUUUUACUCAUUAUAAUAAUUAGUUGACUUUUUCUAUAUUAUAUUAUUCUAACAUUUUUGUUUUCGUAGGUGGAGUAGUAAUCUGAGUAUCGGGAAGUCACAGACGGUUCCGUAGGACCUAGGUGGUAUACAUUGAGCCCAACUUUAGCACAAGCUGCCACGACGUGUGCACAUGGAAAAUGAAGUGUUUGAAACCUUCUGCAAUCGCACCGUCUAUUUCGGAGAUCAACUCCGUAGGACCUAGGUGGUAUACUGGGUCGACGACCGAUGGUCUCUGUAACUCGAAACGUUUCAUUAUGUCGUGAAUAUACUUCUACUGUCAUCGACCUCGCCAUUCGACGGUUUACAACCAUUGUAUCCCUAAUGCCUUCGACAAAGACAUGACCCGCCUCCAUCUGGUUCACUUGUUGCUGACCCAUUCUUGGCAUCAAGGUAGCCAACCUGAAGAACGUUGCCGAGAAGACAGAUGAAAUUGGAAGAUGCCGUGUUUUUAAUAACACAGCGUUGAUCCCCUCCACUAAGUUUGUAGUCAUUUGACCAUAACGAAAGCCCUCGUCAAAACUUUGAGCCCAUUGCCACGGCUCCAUGGUCCCCAGCCACUGUCGAAAAGAUGUGUUGGUUUGACCCUCCAUGUCACUCUCAAGCCAGGCCAUUUUUUGGCGAAAAAUGUGUGGCUCUAGCUCGUACGCUGCAUAUGUAUUAAAAAAAAUUUAAGUUACAGUAUUGCUCUAAAACAUUAAAACUUAUAUUUAAAAGAUAAGGUAAUUCUUUACCCAUUCUCACAACUUGUCUCUUCCAGUCUGCAUUAUUAUAAUCUCGCUAGAAGUUAGCCGCGAUGUACCGGAUGCAGUAAACAGAUCGCCAUGGUACACCAGAACGCCUAAUGGCUGCAAUUAAUCCUUUUCCUCUAUCGAAAAUGAUGCAAAUAUUAUCAUUGCUAAUCACAUACCUCCGCAGGUUGGUAAGAAAGAACUCCCACGAUUCCAUGUUCUCAUUAUCGACGAUGGCAAAUGCUAUCGGGAGUACGUUCCUGUUGCCGUCUUGAGCAACCGCAAGAAGUAAGAUCUGUGUGUAUUUUCCAUAUAGCCAGGUUCCAUCUACUUGCACAAAUGGUUUGCAGUGGGGAAAUGCGCGUACACAUUGAUCAAAAGUCCAGAACAUCCGAUGGAAAAUUCUUUUUCUCGAUUGUAGUUGGUCAUUUGGACCGUCAUAAGAUCGUGUCUGCAACUCAAUUACAGUCCCCGGCACGUGUUCCCUCAUGGCGGCUAUCCAUCCCUGUAAUUCAUUGUACAAUGCAUCGAAAUCUCCGUACAAUUGCUCCAUUGCCAUCUGUUUAGCUAUCCAUGCCUUCCGGUAUGAUACUCGAUAUUGGAAUCGUGCUUGUAUUUCAGCAAUCAGUACCGAAACUUUAAUGGUCGGCAUGUCUUUCACCAUUGGCAUGAUGCAUGUACAGAUAGUUUUGGAGUCAAGUUUUCGAUGAUCUUCUGUCAUACGUGUUGAAGUGCAUGUGUGGGGCUCCACAAAUUUUCGUAUUUCCCACAUCUGCGACUUCUGCAUAAAUGCAGCUUGUACUCGCCAAUUCCAGCCUUCUGUCAACCUCCAACACUCUCCAAUAUAUAAUGUUGGUUUAGACUCGAUGACUUUGUAAUCUAUUGAUAUAUUCAUGCUAUACCGCUUAAUUGCAAACAUACAUUCUUCCUUACUUUCAAAUCUCUGGCCCACGCGUAACUCAUCUGGAUCAGAAUAUACGCUCAUUCGGUAACCAUGUGGUAUUUCAGGGUACUCCGAAAACUCAGCUGCCCGUGCCGCAUCGGGGUCUAUCCGAGACAUGUGUGCCCCAUGAUUAUUGUGUAUCACAAUACGACGAAUCUGGUUUCCGACUCAAGACGCAUUAACAUUUCCAUCCUCAUUCACCCCUUCGUCGUCAAUAUCAUCCGGGACCUCGUCUGCGUCGGGAUCACUCUCACUAUCCACUUCGUAAUCAACAAGAUCACUACUAUAGUAUACAUCAUCACCAACCACAUCAGUCUCGGCUGCAGCAUUAAGAUCAAUAUUUAUCCCAUGUAUAGGUGAUUGACUAUCAACAUACGAUACCGGAACCACCAUACACGGCGCUUCAACUCCAUCUUCUUCACCUAAUGGAGUGGGAUCUUUAGUUGCCUCCACACUGGCUAACUCAGCAAAUAACUGAAUCGGUGCAUUUGUGUUACUCGAAGUCCCACAAUAAAGAGCGACCAUUGUUUCCACGUCUUUAUCGUCUACAAGUUCCAUUUCGGUAAAUUUUAUUGGAUCUGUUGAUACUGGAAACUUGUAGAAAACUUUUGAUAUCCUUCUCCCACAACGUCUAUAAAUUUUUUCACUAAUUUUUUCCUUCAUAUCAUCAAACAAGAUAUUUCUAUCAAAUCUCAUUGCUACUUGUUUGCGACAUUCAAAUAUACAUCCCACAGUUGUUGUUAAAAUUUCUCCAUCGAAAUAAACGCAUACAAAAAACUGAUUCUCCAUUUUCAAUACUAGAUCUGUAAAAAAAUAAUUUCAAAUUUCUUAAAACAGUUUCAAAAUGUAAACAAAAUACAUAAAAAUUUUAAUGCAAAAAUUUUCAUUCAGAAACUAACAAAAUUAAUAACAUGGCAAAAUAACUUUCGAAUAAUAAAAUUACUAACAAAACUCUACAUUCUAUUUAAAAAAAAAACCAAAAUACCUACUUUUUUUCUUCUUUUCCUUCCUUCUUCUUUCUUCCGUUUUUGUAGUCAAAUUUAUGUCUGUGUUGGGGGUAUUUAUAGAGAAAAAUCACAGCAUUGGCACCUUCUAAUAUGGCACCACCAUUGGCGCCUGCUACAUAGGCACCACCAUUGGUGCCUCCCAAAUAGGCACCACCAUUGGAGCCUUCCAAAUAGGCGCCAAUACUAUGUAUUAUACAGGUUAUAUACUAACCCGGAAAAGUAUAAUUUAUAUUUUAUUAAAAAAAAUUAUUAUUAUUUUAUUCAUUGGCGCCUACGAAAUAGGCUCCAAUGAAAAAGUAACCCAUUUUGGUAAUUUUUUUUCUGACAUACUAUUUCAGUAAUUUUUUUUUCUAUCCUAAUUAGGUAAAAAAACCCUGUUUAGCACUUGGUUGAUGUUGAGGAAAUAACUUGAGGUAAGGUCAUUGAAUUUAGUUUUGAACCCAUUACAGUCAACAAAAUUCUCUAGUUAAGAAAAUAGAAAAUGCAGUAAAUUAUUACUAGAUUACUACAAUAUUUUAGGGUAAACUAUACUAAGGUCACUAAAUUAUUAGAAAAUUUUUGUUCUGGUCACUUAACUUCAAAAUGAUACAAAAUGACCAUUGAACUAUUCGAAAGCUUUUAUUUAAGUCACUAGGUUGUUAUGAUUUUUUUAAAAGAAGUUCGGCUAGAAAGCUCCAAAUGAGUAUUUGACGAUCGAUAUGGUGGAUCAAUAUCCUUCGAUAAGUAAAAGAAUAUACCUUAGAUCCAAAUCACUUUGAUGGCUAGUGUCAAAGAUCAAAGAAGAAAGUUGUUUAAAUUUUGGUUCUCAGAUUAUUGACGUUCAAAACUAUUGCAUGAAAAAAAUUGAAUUGUGAAACAGAAGGGAAAUGAGAGUUUUUGAUUGGUGUAUGUGGUGCGAAUAAAGAGUCAUAAAUCAUCGAUUUUAAUAGCUCAGUGACUUAAAUGAAAAUUUUUAAAUAUUUCAGUAAUUAUUUUGUAACUUUUUGAAGUUAAGUGACUAAAAUGUAAAUUUAUUAAUAGUUUAGUGAUCUUGAAUGUAGUUUGCUCAAUAUUUUAAUAUUAUUAUAGUUGAGUGUAUGACAAAAAAAAAAAAAAAGUUAGUGAGAUUAUAGUUUUUAUGGACCUGUUCAAUGUGUAGUGCAUGCAGGUGACCUUAAAUAUUUUGCUGAAAGAUCGUAAGCUAUAUCAAGUGAUCAAUAAACUAUAGAGAGAUGCAUGCCUCAAACCUAAUGAGUAAGAGGGGGGGGGAUUUGUACCCAAAACAAUUCGAAUCCUAAAUGAUUUGAAUCCAAGCUUAACCCAUACGAAUUCAGAAAUUCGAGCAUCACACCUGAAAUGAACAGGAAAGGACUUAAAUGACAGGAACUGAAAUAAUGUGAAAAUUUUAAAAAUUGAAUUUACUGAUUGAUCCCGCGGUGAUGUCAUUAGACUGAGGAGUAGUUGGUGCCUUCCAUAAUUUUCUAUGGAGGAGUGGGUUUAUUAAAAUAUAUUGGCCUGCAUUCAUGGUGUUUUUGGUAAGUGAGUGGCGUGAUCUGGUUCUGGUCAGGCAGAUAUGGACGAAGGAAAACAGGUAAGCUGCUUUAACUUUUAGGGAUGGCGUUGUCUCGAAUAUUCGAAAUUCGUAAAUUUGUUUUAAAAUCUCAAUUUGUACAGUGUUAUUUAUUAAAUGCGAGCACUAUUAACUGAAUUUAUUUCUAAAUUAUAUGAUGGAUAAUUGAAUCUAUUAAAUAUUUUAUUAUAUAAUUAUAAUAAAAUAUAAUCAUUCGACCUGAGAUUCAACCAAAAAUAUUUAUAAUUUUAAUAGUCACAAACAUUCUAUUUGGAGGUGGGGAGGCCAGACAAACUACUCUAUCUUCUUUUUUUUUUGGAAAGUUUGUUUUUCCUUACACUUAAUCUUCUUCAAGACCAUUUUGUGUCUUUAUUUUUACUUCCGUUGAUACGGUAUAUAAAUAUAUCUAAAUUAAUCAAGUUAAAAAAACUUAAAAGGUAAAAUAUUAUUUUAGAUAGUGAUUGGAAUGAAUGAAAAUAUUAUUCAGAUAUGUAAAAUACAAAUAGAUUAAUACAUUUCGAUGACUUUCAGUGUUUUUUUAGAGUUUAUAAGUGUAAAUACAUGAAUAAAUAAUUACAAAAUAAAAUAAAAUCAAUACAAAUUAUAAAGAGACGAAUAAUAAGUAAUUAUCAGAUAAAAUUUAUACAUGGCAACUAUAUAUAGUGGGACUAGAGACCCGCUAAUGAUAAUCGCACAUGAAUAUAAAGAAUUAAAAAAAAAACAACAACAAAUAUAAAUUUGAGAGCAAGGAAAAAGUAUAACUUAAUUGAACAACCUACAUUCUUUGGUGGUGUUCAUCAAAAAUAGAAAGAAAGAAGCUUUUUGGUUGCAUUUAGAAGAGAUCAUCCGUUGAGUUUCAUAGCGGUCAGAUUUAAAAAAAAAAAAAGCAUUAAUAUUUAUAUAUUUUUAUAAUUAAAUUAAAUUAAAUUAUUUAAAAAAAUUUUGAAUGGGCUUAUAUUGAAUUAAGGCAAAAAAUUAAAAUCAUCAUCCAAAUAUGAUGUAUCUAUUGAAUCGGACUAACCACUAAACUUGUAAAUAGGUCUAAUCAAAAUAUUUUAUUAAGACAAACCAAUCCAUUCUUUAAUCUUAUCAAAUGCUAAAGACAUUAAGCAAUCAAACCAUAAUCAACAUUGCUUAAUCUUAAUAUGAAUUGACUUGGAAAUAAAUAACCACAUGCCGUUUAUCUUUUGUUUGAACGAAGUUGCUUGGUCAAGGCUUUUUUAACCUAAUAAUUCAUAUAUAUCCACGUAUUUUUUAAUCCUAUCAUAAUCAUGUUCACGGUAUUUUAUAUUUUAUAAUUAAUUUUGAUAUAUUUAUAAUCGUUUAAGGAUUAAACUCGAGAUUAAUAUUAAUUAAAAACUUGAGCACAAAUAUUUUGCUACUUCAUUUGUGAUUCGGUCGACCUAUAGAUUUAUAUAAUAUGUAUACUAAAAUUGAAUGAGAAAAUUAAUUAACAAUUACAAAAAAUUAAUCAAUCGUAUUUUGUAAAAAUAUUAUGGAGAUUUUUAUACUAUAAGUUAGAUUGUAUUUUGCCCUCUUUAUUAAAAGAAUGGACAAAUUAGUUCCUAUUCAUGACAUAUAUAUGAACCAAUUUUUUAAUCGUAGAAAUGGAUGAAACUUUUAAUAGAAAGACCAAUUUAUACAUUUUUGAGUAGACGAAACAAAAUGCAAUCAGAUCACUUCUAAUAUAAAGACCUUCAUGAUAUUUCACCGUUUUUUUCUCAAUAUUUCAACUUCUUGUUUCCCAUCCAUAUAUUGUAUUAUAAAGAAGGAGAGAUUUAUAUACUCUUAUGUUUCAUUUAUUUAAAAAAAAUUAUGGUCAUAUCAUAUUUUAAUUUUUUAAAGAAUAAAACAAGCAGAAGCAUAUCGUUGUCUUUGUUUUCCAGAUACUAAAUACGAUUAAAUUAGUUCAUUUAUUUGUGAAGUGGCAGAGAAAUAAUGUAACGUUGUAAUAAGAAAAUAUAAGAUGUAACUUUCAAAACUGAGUUUUAUAGAUUGUGCAAGAGCAGGACAAGAAAGAAAGACCCAUUUCUUACGUUAAUACAACACUAGAUCAAGUAGUAAAAUAAUAGCCAGCAAUUUAGACCAAACACAAUUAAGAUGAAUUCAUUUGAGGAACAGGACGGGACAGUAAGAAUGCUACUACUGAAUUUAUUAUCACUUGUUUUAUUAUUUCUCUUAGAUGUGUAAUCUUGAAAUUUAUUGAAAACUGUCAAUGGGAGGUCCAGAUAAAAUUUUAAAAUUUCUAUUCUAAAAGUGAUUAAAUUAUAUUAUUAAUUUUUAAAAAUGCCUAAAAUUACAAAAUUUUCCAUCUAUUUAAAUGAUUAAAAGGCUUAGAAUGAAAAUUUAAUAGUUGAGGGGAACUAUUAAUUAAAAUUUCCCAUUUGACCUCUAGCUAUCAUUACCUUUGUUGAUGCUGGGAUGCAUUUAUCCCUGUAUCGCUUUGCUUCAAUUUAAUUUUUGUUAAAUAUAUUUUUUUAAUAUUUUUAAUCUUUUUUUAAUGUAAGUAAAUGUUUAAAUAUAGUUCUUUAAAAAUAAACAUAAAAUUAAUGGGUCUUUCUGUAUUACAUUUUUACAUUUUUUUCCUUUUUAAUAAUUAUAUAUAUAAUGGUAAAAUGAUAAUUUCAUAUGAUAUGACGAGAGUAAACAAUUAUUAUAAUCAUUCUAUCUCCAUAGUUAAGAAAAAAUCGCUCUAUUUCACAUUCUCUUUUCAAAAAAUAGAGUGAAUUGAUUCAAAAUUCAUUAGACAAUUCAGUUUUGUCAUCCCUAGGGUUCAUUGUUGAACAUUAAUCUCUUUCAAUUUUUUAUUUUGUGGGUUUAUAGCAAUUAACUAAAAGCAAAUGAAAAAUAAGAUUUCAUUAUGAAUUUCAUCCUCUGAUUUACAAAAAUUGAGAAAUUAGUCCCUUUAUCUUAUUAGAUUUUGGUCCUCAUACUUUAUACAAUUUGAGAAGUUAGGUCACCUUAUGGUAAACAAGAGAACUUGAACUAUUGGUUUUUGGUAAUUUAUUGCAUAUAAGUUGUUCAACAAUUGAUUUUUACUAAUUCUUUGCAUAUAAAUUGUUAAACCUUUUGAUUUUUUUUUUUAGGUUUAUGAUUUAACAAAAAAAAAAAGUUCAAUAGUGCUACCCAAUUGGAUUGACUUCUCUGGUUUCGUAACGUAAGAGGAUCAAAUUUUAACAAAUUAAAAUAGAAAGGUUAAUUUCUCAAUUUUCACAAAGUAGAUAGACGGAAUUCAAAAUUAGACAAUGAAAUCUUUACAAAAAUUGAAAAGUUAAUCCUUCUAUUUUAAUUUAUUAGAAAUUAAUCUUUGUAUUUUAACUAAUUUCGCAACUUAAUCCAAUUGGAUAACAAUUAACAAUUUGAAUUUUUAUCUAUACCCAUUAUCAGAAAUUGCAUAUUCCGUUCAUGAAAUCUGCCUUAAAACUCAUUUACCUACAAAAGCAAAUAAAACAAAUAUUAAAUUGGACUAAUUUCUCUAUUAUCAUAAAGUAUGAGGAUUAAUUUAUGAAAAAUUAGGUUUAUAUUAUUAUUGUUUGGUAUAAGUGUGUAAUAUGCAGCCAAUAUAUAUUACAAGCUGACAAUGACAAUGUGGAAAAGCUUGCAUUUAAUAGAGAUAUUGUUUUAAAUUUAGGUUAAAACUUUAAUGAUAUAAUAUUUAUCUCAAUGUUUUUGUUUCUUUCCAAAUUUAAUAAUCCAAAAAAUUGAUUAGUAUUUUGUAUCCAUCAUCUUUAUCCCUAAAUUAACUUGAAUAAAAUAAGCUUUGCUUGACAUGGAUGGCUAGAGCUUAAUUUUUUUUAGAUUAAUUUAAUUGAUUCGUGUAAUUAUUUUUAAAAGUUUAUAUGUAAUAAAUUUAAAAUUUCACGAAUAAAAUUUUAUUUAUAUUAGUAAAGAUUUAGCCUCUGAAACUUUGAAUUUUCAUAUUUGAGCCUUAUCAUAUGUAAAUGUCAUAUAAAUUUUUUAUAAAUUAUUUUGAGUUUAAAUUUUAUUACGCGUGAAUCCUAUUUAAAUAUAUUAAAAUUUUUUAUUCAUUAUAUUUUAUUAAAUUAAUUCUUAGUUUUAAUUGAUGGGACCUAUUUAUAACAUAAUUAUACUUAUUUAUAAUUAUUACUUGAAUAAUUGACAUUGGUAUAGAUUUUAUUCUCAAAACUAGAUUCCUUGGGUCUGCCAUUUUGUCAGCCUUGUGUGUCUAUAUAUAUAUAAGAUUUAAUAUGCUUUAACUUGAUUAAUUUGAAUUUAAAUCUCAUUUAAUUAUAAAAAAUAAUAAUUUAAAUGUGCUCAAUUUGAAUUUAAAUUAAUUUGAAAAAAAUAGUUUAAAUUCGAAACAAUUUGAAUAAGUAAUUUUAAAAAAUUAGAACUUAAAGUAAUUAAGAAUCCAAAAUAUUUUAAAUUAAAUAAUAAAAAGUUCGAACCGACUUAAGCCUAAAAUAAAUAAAUGUAUAUAUAUGUUUCUAGACUUAUGGCUUUUACAUAAAACAUAAAUUUUCCAUAAAUAAAACAAUAUAAUUUUUUUUGUAAAAAUCAUGGAAAAUAAAAUCCAAAAAAGAAAAUAAAUUUCUAACUCUGCCUAUAUUAAAAUUUAUGCACAAAUUUACUUACAUGAAAAAUUUUCAAACAUUUAAAUGCUGUAUUAUUGCAUCCUUAGAUUGUUGUUGAUACCUCCUUUUUUCUUUAUUAACAAACCAUUGAACUGUUCUUCUUGCAAUCGGCAACCACAGCCGCCUUAUUCUCUCUUCCUUUGUGUAAUUUUCCGACAAGUAACCGCCGCCGCCUGUUCUGUUCCUCGACAAAGCAGUGAUUUCCGACAUUGAUCUUUUGUCACCUUGAUUAAUUGUAUGGCGGCUGGUACUUGCUUCAUAAUCAUUGCUUUUGUUUAAUGAACUCACUUUGUUCUCAAACAACCUCUUUAUCUCUAUCUCUUCUUUGAUCUUCAUGAUCCCGUCGUUUCCGAUCGGUUUCGUGGACCGACGGUUAUCAUCGUCAGUUCCUGGUAUUGAGAACCUGUUGCUGGACAUAUCGUUGAGCAUUUCGGCGUUUAAGAACAUAAGGUCCGAUGAACUUACACUACUCCAUCGGUUCUUCAUUACCACAUCGGAUACAAUGAUUUUGUGAUUUAACUUAUGAAAGAUUUCGGGUUCGGGUCUCGGAUCUUGCUCUCUUUGUAUGUAAAGUUCUAUGUUCGAGUCUUCAGUUAACUCGGAUUGAUUCCGUGAGAACCUCAUACUAUUUGUGUAUACAAACAUGGUCAAAUCCUCAGCGUUGACUUUUUGUCUACAAAGUGGACAACUUGAAUGUUUUUCAAGCCAUUGAUCAAUACAAUCAAUAUGGAAUCCAUGUUUGCAUUUAGGUAAUAACCUCAUGAUUUCGAUAUCAUCGAAUUUCGAUAAACAAACUGCGCAUUCGAGCCCCUGCUUCGAUCCUUUAAGCGACGAGAAACGGAAAAACGGGAGUGAUUCGAUGACUUUCCUGUCGAUCCCGGAAAAUUGAGACCUUGUCCGAUGGAGCAACCCGAAGUGAUAAUCGUCACCGUGAUGAACCGGUCUUCCUCUAUGACAUAACUUGGCAUAGAUUAGUAAGAAAAAUGUUAAGGCAAACAUGACACAAAGAAUACCUAUGACAACCGCAAGGCUCGGUCGGAAAUUCGAGACGGGAUCAUCACUUGGAUCGGGAGAUUGCGCAUCGACGAGGACGAUUGAGAUAGAAAUAACUAAACUAAUCAACACCGUUAAUUGAUUCAUCGGACAGUAUCUGUGCAUCUUAGAAUUUCCCCCCCAGAAUUCUAUUGCUUCACUGCAUGCAUUUUAGUUAGCAAAAGAUGACUUUUAAUAGUUCAUAUAGGGGUAGUUUGAUAUAUAUACAUAUAUUAUUAUAUAUCAUGAUGAUGAAAUUUAAAAGUAUUUUGUCUAUUUUAUGGUGCCACCUAACAAAUUAUUAAAUAAUUUUUUAAAAAAAGGUUGCUUUUGAAACUUUGAAAGAGUUUUUGCAUUUGACAUUUAGGAGAUAUUCCAUUCAGAAUGAUAAGAGGCCUGCCAUUUGUGUUCUAAAUUUUGUUUAAGACAAAACUGUUUACUUUUAUCUGUUUUUUUUAAUUAUAUUUUGAUGAUUGAAUUAUUCGAAAGUUUUUAUUUAAGUUACUAGAUUGUUUAAGUUUUUAUUUAAAGUCUGGCUAGCAAGCUUCAAGCGACGAUUCAAUUAUCGGUAUGGUGGAUUAGUACCCAUCAAUGAGUAGAAAAACAUACCUUAGAUCCAAGUUGAUCUGACGGUUAGUGUCGGAAAUCAAAGAAAAAAAUCAUUUAGAUUUUAGUUUGUAGACUCAUGAAAAAAAAUUGAACUAUAAAAGAAAAGGGGAAUGAGGGCUCUUAAUUGGUGCAGACGGUGUGAAUAGAAAAUGCCAUACAACAACGAUUUUAACCGUCCAUUAAUUUCAAUAAAAACUUUUGAAUAAUUCAAUUACUAUUUUGUAACUUUUUGAAAAGAGCAAAACAUAAAUUUAUUAAAAAUUUAGCGAGCAUUUUGUCCUUUAACAUAUAAAAACAAUUUUAUUUUUUCAGAAUUAAAAUGAAAUUUGUCCUUAAUUUGGUGGCUAAGGCAAUAUAAAAUAUCAAAGUCCUGUUAAAAGACUAGACUCGGGCAGGUCUAAUUGGUUUUAUAUCAGUUCAAUUUGAAUGGAGUAAAUUUUAGUUUUAAAAAUUUUGGUCUAAUUGGUCUAAUUAGUUUUAUAUCCUCUGAAUAUUUAAAAAUCUUAAUUAAAAUUUUUGAAAAUUUUUAUUAAUCUUUUUAAAAAUUUUAAAAGUUUUAAUUAACCCUCAAAAAAAUUUGAAAUUUUCCUUAAAGUUUUGAUUUGAAUUUAUCGAAUCAAUUUUUAAAAUUGAAUCAAAAUUAACGAGUCUAAAUUAUCUAAGAGUGGAAUUAAAAAGUCAAUGUUAACCAUUAAUACAAUAAUAAAGUCAAGGGGUUGCAUCUAGUCUAUCUUUACGUAUUAGGUUAGGUUGUUUUAGGUGAACUCAUCAACUGAUCUUCGCCGGCUAAAAUACUCACUAAUCCACCAUCGAACUUAUGAUAUAAUGAAAGAUGCAUAUAUACAUAUAUAAACUCGGUCAAAUGGGAUAAUUUAUUGGAAAGUCAUUGAAAUAAAUGAGCCUAGAUGGUAUCUUAAUGAUUAAUACAACUUGUGUUUAUCAAACGUUAUGAAUCUUUGGUUGUGUUUUAGAAGCAAUGUUAUGUUUAUCGAGUUCUUCAUUUUUUUUAAAGUAUUUGUAUCUGACACGAGUGUCAGAAUAAAUGAAUCUAGAAAAUUUUUAAAGGCCAAAAUUUAAUAUAAAAUUUUGUGAUGUCAAAAUAUAAUUUUAUCAUUUAUUAAUUUAUUAAUUUAUAAUUUCAUCAUUUUUAAGGGACUUAAUUUUUUCAUUCUUAGGAGCUAAAAUACAAUUUUACCAUAUAUUAAUUUAAAAUUUUAUUAUUUAGAAGGGACUAAAGAAAUAAUUUUCCAUUUUGAGAGCCAUCAAGGAUCCUAGAAAAAUCUAACCAUACCCUAUAUUAGAUAGAUACCCGUAUUUGAGUUUAAGUAACAUAAAUUAAAUGCGAAUUUGAAAAGAUGGGUUGGUAUAUAUAAAUAAAGGGAAGCAAAUGAUUGUUGAUACUUAAUUGGGAAAUCAAUAGAGUAAUGAACAUAGACUCAAUAAAUCAUGCAUUUCUUUAUGAAGGUGAACAUGGAGAGAACCCAAAGGAGAAACCCCAGAGUCAACUAUGAAAAACUUUGGUCUCCAUUAAAAACAUAUAUAUAUAUAAUGUUAUAUUAUAUAUGCAUGCAUGCACAUGUAUAUUAUAGGAGCAAUGCCAUUUUGGUUAUUAUUAAUGAUGGAAGCAUAUGUGUCCCUUGGAUUUGGAUAUAUUCAAUGUUUUUCUUAAAAAAAUUUCAUGUAUUUGGAAAUAUGUUAAAAGAUUACAUCUCAAUACUCAAUACCCAUGCUUGAAAACAAUCUUUUAAAACAUCAAAUUAUGUAUAUGUACCAAAGUGGCCGAGAUGAUUUUCUCGAGCAAAGAUUGUCAAAUGUGUAUUCAAGGCCAUGGCAAUGUAUGUUUUUGGCGUUGGGGACCGUUGCCAAAUCAUUCUCAAUGGUCAGAGUAGUGUACUUUUCGUUGACAUGCAAUUUUAUGAGAGUUAAAAUAUAAUUCAUCAUUAUAUUGACCUAUAUCUUUCUGAUUUUUAAAAGGAUUAAACUUAUAAAUUAAUAACGGAAAAUAUUUUUCUAACCGGUAUAAUUCAUUAAAUCAAUAAUUCAUCAAUAUUUUAUAUUAAUCGGUAUAAAACAAUUAAUAGAUGUGGAAUGUUUCUGUCUUAAAAGCUGAAAGCUUUGGUUAGUAAAUUUAAAGAUCAAAUUGAUAAAAUUUAUAAAUGUGAAGGGUUAAAUUUAUUAACUUAUUUAGAAUUAAAAUUAAAUUGAUAGAAUAUGUAAAUAUUGAAGACUACAUGUGUUACUAUUUUAACCACAUAUUUAUAAUAACAAAAAAAUCCCAUCAACUUCAUCUCUAUCAGAGUUGUCUGGAUGAAGUGACGAACACUUGAAACUAUAAAUUAGUUUUUUCCCCUUUAUUUUUUCUGAAAAGAUUUUGAUUGACAUUUAUUUAUUAAAUUUAAAAUUCUAAACCAAUUGUUAAAGCGUAUUUUGUUUUUUAAGGGUUAAAUUGACUAAACAUCUAAAAUUAUCAUUUAGAUUUUAAAUUGCUCCCUAAAUGUUAAAUGUUUUAAUUGAGUUCAAAAUAUCAACAUUAUAUUGAUAUGGUCUUUCGUUUCAACUUUGGCAUCAAGUUGUAAAUUAAUUGUUAAUUUAGAUUUGACAGUGAGUAUAUUUAAAAAUAUAGAGAUAAAAUUAUAAAUAUGUGUAUAUCUACUGUAUGGAUUGUUUAGAUCUAACAUGUUAAAAAAAUAGACAAUAUUAAUAAAAUUUAUGACAUUUAAUUUUUUUAACAUUCAGAUCCAAACUAUUCAUGUAAUAAACACAAAAUUUUAUCCAUUGUCAAAUUUAAAUUGUCAUCUAACAGCCCUCCCAAAGCCAAACUGAUAGAAGGACCUGAUUAAUACAAUACUGAUAUUUCAAGAACUCGAUUAAAACAAUUUGAAGUUCGAGAACCCAUGACCCAUUUAAAAUUUAAGAUAUAGUUUGAGGACAUCUUAUUGAAUUAACUCUUUUUUGAUUAAAAAAAAUUAUCAAUCUAAUUGCUUAUUUGGUCAAGAUUCUAAUUUAUAGGGUUGAAUCCUAGUUUCUAAAAAAAUAUAAUUUAUGAUCCAAUAAAAUAGCAUUGGCUUAAGCAAAAAUUAAGGAUGGGGUUAUCACAUAACACCUAAAAAAUUGCUUUAAAUUUUGUAAGUAGGUAUAAACGCAUCACAUCCAUUAUGAUAAAUACAACUUUUAAUCCACUUUUCAAUAAUUUCUUUUAUGAGACUUUCUGAUAAAAUUUUAAAACCUUAAUUUGUUUAGUAGUUUUCUAUGAUCAUAUAGUCUUUAGUUCUUUCCCAUCAUGGGUGCAUAUUUUUCAUCAACUAAAUGAUAAUCAAACAUUAGUAGUUUCUUCAUACAAAGCCUUGGGUUAAUUUCGUUGAACCCCCCAUUGUUUAUACAACACUUUUUUUGGGCUAGUUUUUUUUUUUUUUUUUUUGUGUGCGCGCGCGCAAAAAAAAGAAAGCGGGGGUAUUGAGAGAAAAAAAAUGGCUGGUGGGGGUUUUACUGAUGAUGGGAACUUAAAGAGAGCCCAUCUCUACGAAUACAACAUUACUAGUUAUUUUAUAUUUGCUUGCCUAGUUGCUGCCAUGGGUGGUUCCCUUUUUGGUUAUGAUCUUGGUGUUUCAGGUGAGUUUUGAAUUAGUGUUUUUGCUCUUGUUAGCUAUGUAGGACCAUUCCAUCAUAAAAUUACGUGAUUGAUCUUGGUUUCAUGUUUAAAUUGUUACUUAAAAAGGUUUUUUUUUAUUCAAUUAAGUACUUAAAUUUGGUCUCAAUAUUUAAUUUGAAACCUAAACUUGUCUUUUUUUUGUUCAAAUUGGUGCUUAAAUUUAGCUCCAUAGAUCAAAUUGGUUGAAAUAGCUAAGUACUAACUUAGAGCAAAAAGCCAAGUUUGAAUAAAAAAAAAUCCUUAGGUAACAAUUUGAAGGUAAAAGUACCAUAGAGGCCCUUAUAUUAGGAGUCAAAUUGUAUUUUUUCUUCUCUACUCAAAAAAUGGGCCAAUUAAUCCUUGAACAUUAGAUCAAAGAGCAAACUUAUCAUUUUGUAAAAAAUCCAUUCAUUUCUAUUGUUAAAAAUUGAUCCAUGUACGUUAGUAUGAGGUACACGUGUAGCUGUCUGAUUAUUUCGUUAACCAUGUCAGUUUUUAAUAGUAAAAAUGGAUGAAAUUUUUAAUAGAAAAGAUUAUAGUUUGCUCUUUGAUCUAUUAUAAAGGGACUAAUUAACCCAUGUUUUUGAGUAAAAAGGACAAAAUACAAUCUAACUUCUAGUGUAGGGGCUCCAUUGUAUUUUUACCGAAACUAAGUUCAAGUACCAAAAUAUAUAUUUAUCCUAAAAUUAUCUAUUACCCAUUUUGGCCAUUAGGUUCAAGCAUUACGAGAUGCUCUCACCUUGUGAAUUCCCCCAUAAAUCAUUUAAGCAUUACAAGAUGUUCUCACUCUGUGAGUUAUACCAUCAUUUUUCAUGAGACUUGUUUGCCAUAUGGAUUUGGUUGCAUGUAGGUGGGGUGACAUCCAUGGAUGAUUUCUUGAAGGAAUUUUUCCCAAAGAUAUACAGGAGGAAACAAGACAGCCUAACAGAGACAGAUUAUUGUAAAUAUGACAACCAGUUGCUCACAUUGUUCACAUCAUCACUGUACUUUGCUGGUCUCAUUUCAACAUUCGGGGCUUCCUAUGUGACAAGGAUCUAUGGUCGUAAAGGCAGCAUACUUGUAGGUGGUAUCAGCUUCUUCUUUGGUGGUGUCAUUAAUGCAGCUUCAGUGAACCUCCUAAUGCUAAUCAUAGGUCGCAUACUCCUUGGUGCAGGCAUUGGUUUCGGCAAUCAAGUGAGAAACCAUAGCUCCCUUCUAACAUGAAAAUAAGAUCCAUAACCAUAGUCUAUAGUUGGUAAAAGUACUAUGGAAGCUCUUGUACUAAAAAUUAGAUUGCAUUUUGCCUCUUUACUAAAAAAAAUGGGUAAAUUAGUUCUUGUAUAUUAGAUCAAAGAGCAAAUUAGUCAUUUCUGUUAAAAAUUUCAUCCAUUUUUACUAUUAAAAACUGACAUGGGCGAUAAAAUAACCAGAUAGUUACACUUCACGUUGAUGUGCAAGGACCAAUUUUUAAUAGUAGAAAUGGAUAGGAUUUUUAAUAGAAGGAUCAAUUUGCUCUUUGAUCUAAUAUACAUGUACUAAUUUGCCAUUUUUGAGUAGAGAGGGCAAAAUGCAAUCUGACUUCUAGUAUAAGGACCUCCAUGGUACUUUUACCUCUGUAGCUCAGUUUUUUGCUGUGUAAAAUAAUUUAUUUAAUUGAAACUGGAUGAAUCGACCUGACCUGACCAGUUCGACUAUCGGUCUGAUUCCAAAAACAUUGAUAAAAUGAUAUUAUUUUCCUCACUUAUCUAAACUUUUAUUAUUUAAACAUGUGAUUUCUUUUUACAUUUCAAUCCCUUAUAAUACUUUUUUUCAAGCUUUGCUUUUAGUAGUCUAAAAGCACUCUUUGAUAGAAAAAAAAGUAAAAAGUAUUUAGGAGGUCCUUGUAUUAUAAGGACUGGAUUAAAUUAGUUUCUAUAUUAUUAAAAAGAAUCAAAUAAGUCCAAAAUGGAAUAGAGUUAACAUUUACUAUCUAAAAGAUGUCUUGAAAAUAUAUAUUUUUCAAUUUUAGUUCAAUUUCAAACAAAAGAUUACAUUUAUAGAACUGUAAUUUUUUUAAAAAAUUUAAAUUUGUUAACCAGUAAAUGUUAAAUUUAUUCUAAUUUGACCUUAUUUGAUUCUUUUUAAUUGUACAAGAACUAAAUUGAUCCAUUUAAUUAUAGAAGAACUAAUUUGAUCAAAUCCUUAUAAUUGAGGGACCUUUUAGGUACAUUCACCCAAAAACAACUCUUUCAAGCAUUUACUCUCGAGGAAGAACUCAAGUUUAAACCUUAGAGACAACAAUGCUGGGAAGAGUAGCCACAAACCCAAGGAGAGCACCAAUUGAGACAGGGGUUCGAUAAAAUUUCUCUUUUAGUCCUUUAAAUUUAUGAAGUUAACAGUUAAUUAAAUGGUAGAAAUAUACUUUACCCUCUUCUCCCUCAUAAAUUUUUUUUAGCUUAGUCGGUACAUAAACCUAGAAAUAAUUUAUCUUUUAAGUACUGUAAACUGGAUAUGAAAGAUGCCUUAUCAUACCAAAAAAAAUUGCCACUCAAAACACUUUAAAAAAUGCUUGCUUUUAUUUUUUCGACUGUAACAACAAUACUAAACUAACUCUAAACUUUUUAUUUUUUUUACAAUUGCUAAACAAAUCCUACUAUUUUGUUUAUGUUAAUGAAAACAGGCAGUACCAUUAUACCUAUCAGAAAUCUCACCAGCAAAACACCGAGGAGCAAUAAACCAACUCUUCCAAUUAACAACCUGUCUAGGCAUCCUAAUAGCCAAUGCCAUUAACUACGCUACAGAACAACUCCAUCCAUGGGGAUGGAGAUUGUCAUUAGGUUUAGCCACAUUCCCAGCAACACUCAUGUUCUUAGGUGGCUUAAUCCUCCCAGAGACACCCAACAGCUUAGUCGAACAAGGCAAGCUUGAAGAAGCUAAAAAAGUGUUGAUCAAAGUGAGAGGAACACCCAAUAUCGAUGCCGAAUUUGCCGAUUUAGUUGAAGCUAGUGAUGCAGCUAGGGCUAUAAAACAUCCAUUUAGGAACCUUUUGUUAAAGAAGAAUCGUCCACAGUUAGUGAUUGGAGCUUUGGCUAUACCUGCUUUUCAACAACUUACGGGGAUGAACUCAAUUUUGUUUUAUGCACCGGUGUUUUUUCAGACGUUGGGGUUUGGUUCGUCGGCGGCAUUGUUUUCGUCGUUGAUAACUAGUGGUGCUUUGGUUAUUGCUGCUUCGAUUUCAAUGGGUUUAGUUGAUAAAUUUGGUCGUAGAGCUUUUUUUCUUGAAGCUGGAACUGAGAUGUUCAUUUGCAUGGUAAGUUCCUUUUUUAUUUUUUUUGGGUAAACUAACCCAAUGUCACUUAGUAAGUUUACACUUUAGCCGCUUAACUUUAAAAAUUUACAAAAUAGUCACUAAAUUAUUCGAAAGUUCUCAUUUAAACCACUAAACUGUUAAAAUCCUUGUUAUAUGGCCUUCUUUGUUCACAUCGUCUACACCAAUCGAAAGCUUUCAUUCCCCUUCCUUUUUACAAUUUAAUUUUUUUUUGUUAUAAAACAACUUUGAACGUCAGAAUUUACAUACCAAAAUCUAAACAACUUUCUUCUUCGAUUUCUGACACUGAUCAUCAAAUUGACCUGAAUCUAAAGUAUGUUCUUCUACUCAUCAAUGGGUACUAAUCCAAUGUAUCAAUCGUCAAAUUGUCACUUCAAACUUGCUAGAUGGACUUAAAAAAAAAAAACUUAGCAAUCUAGUUACUUGAAUACAAACUUUCAAAUAAUUCAUGAACUUAGUAACUUUCCCAUUUUAGUUCAUAAACUUAGAUUCCAUCCACAUUAGUCUCGGGGACCUUAACUUGGAUCUAGAGGUGCUCAUGGACCGGGCCGGGCCGGGCCGGGUUCGGGCCAGGCCCAUAAAAAUUUCAGCCCAGGUCCUAGGCCUGGGCCCGGCCCGAAAUAUGGGCCUAAAAUUUUGUCCAGGCCUGGCCCGGGAAAAAAUCAUAAGCCCGGCCCGACCCAUUUUUUUAAUAAAUAUCAAAAAUUUAUUUUAAAAAUUAAAAAAAGUAUUUUAAAAGUAUUUUAAAAUUAAAAAUAUUUUAAAAAUAUUUUAAAAUUAAAAAAUAAUAAAAAAAGUAUUUUAAAAAUAUUUUAAAAUUUAAAAAAAUUAAAAAUAAAUAUAUUUAUUAUAUCGGGCCAGGCCGGGCCGAGCCCGGGCCAAAAAAGUGGUGCCCGAGGCCCGGCCCGUUUUCUAAACGGGCCUCUUUUUUUUCCCAAGCCCAUAUUUCAGGCCUAUAUUUUUACCCAAACCCUCACAUAUUUCGGGCGGGCCAUCGGGCCGGGCCACCCGGCCCAUGAGCACCUCUACUUGGAUCCCAAGUUCAAAGAAUAAAAAGGUUGCUUUAUCCCAAUAUAUAUAAGUACUAAAUUUCAAAUCAAAUAUAGUACAUUGGAUUAAAACCAAAAUUUGGCCAGUAAUUUGCUAUCAUCCUUCUUAAUGUAUAAGAUAAAUUAAACUAAAUUAUUAGUAAGUCUACGUUUUGGUCAUUCAAACUCUAAAAAGUUACAAAAUAGUCAUUAAACUAUUCAAAAAAAAUUAUUUAUGUCAUUGGUCCAUUAAGUUUUUUUUUAAAAAGUCCAACUAGCGAGCUCCAAGCUACAAUUUGACAAUCGGUACAGUAUACCAGUACCCAUUGGCGAGUAGAAAAACAUACCUUAAAUCCAAGUCACUUUGACGGUCAAUGUCGGAGAUCGGAGAAGAAAGCUAUUUGAAUUUUGGUUCGUCAAUUCGUGAUAUUCAAAACAGUUUCAUUAAAAAACUGAACUGCGCAGAUGAAAAGGAGAAAAAGAGUUUUUUCGACUGGUGUAGAUUGUGCGAAUGAAGAAAGCCAUACAUCAUUGAUUUUAAUAAUCUGGUAACUUAAAUGAAAAUUUUCGAAUAGUUUAGUAACUAAUACAUAAACUUAUUAAUAGUUUAGUGACAUUGAGUGUAGUUUACCCUAAUGUAUGUCCGAUGAUAAAAAUAUAUAUAUCCAGGGCCGAAGACAGAAGGGGGCUUGUAGUUGCCUUGGCCCCCCAAAAUGAUAGAUUUAUCAUUUAAUCCCUUAAAUUUUUAUGAAAUUACAUAUUAGUAUUCUGACAAAAUUAUAUUUUGGUCCCCAAUAAUUUAUGAUUCAUCUCUAGCUAUCCUUAAAACAAUUUUUUGGGUUCGUCCCUGUACAUAUCCAGAUUGCAGUGGCCAUAACACUAGCUCUCAAAUUCGGAGAAGGUGAACCCUUACCGGUCGGCGUCGGUUGGUUUCUCGUCUGUGUCCUUUUCUUAUUCGUAUUAGCAUACGGCCGAUCAUGGGGUCCAUUAGGUUGGCUAGUACCGAGUGAGAUUUUCCCAUUAGAAACAAGAUCAGCAGGUCAAAGCAUGGUGGUGUGUACGAACCUCCUCUUCACAGCAUUAAUAGCACAAUGCUUCUUGGUUUCUCUUUGCCAUUUAAAAUAUGGGAUCUUCUUGUUGUUUGCUGGCUUAAUUUUCGUAAUGACUGCCUUCAUUUACUUUUUAUUGCCUGAAACUAAACAAGUUCCCAUUGAAGAAGUUUAUUUGUUGUGGAAAGAUCAUUGGUUUUGGAAAAGGUAUGUUGAAGAUCAUGAUCGGUAUGGGUCGGACAGGCCAUGAAGAAAAGCAAAAAUUGUAUGGGUUAAAAAGGGAAAAAAAGUGUAAAACGGCGUCGUCUCCUGUUCUUUGAUUUUUUUCAAAGAUGAUGAUUUUUUAGUUAAUUAUUUGGUCUAAUUUGUUUAGAGUUUUCAUGUAAUUGCAAAUGGAAAAUGAUGAAAUAGAAAUUACUUAGAUUUGGUAUGUGGUAGUGAUGGUUAAAAGUUGUACGUUUUGGUAUUUGAAAUUUAUGGUGAUAAUUUUUUAGAAUUUAAUUUAAGUGUUUAUAGUUGAUUUGAUAAAAAUUUAUAAUUAAUUAAUAAUAUUAGCAAUUAACUUUCAUUAAAUUAACUCUUAAAGAUAAAAAAAUAUCACAGUCGUCAUAUUGUAAUUAACAAAUUAAAUACAAAAUUAGAUAAAUUCACAAUUAACACUAAAUUUAUUCUAUUUAUAACAAAAUAAUGAGACUUCAAACUUAAUAAUAUUAACAACUAAUUUUCAUCAAAUCAACCCUAAAAUCUGAAUUAAACACUAAAAAUUCAACAUUGUUAUUUUUAGAUUCCAAAAUAUAUAACUUUCACCAAAUAAACUCAUUUAGUUGUUGUGGAAAGAUCAAUGGUUUUGAAAAAGGAAUGUUGACGAUGAUGAUUGGUAUGAAUUCGAGAAACCAUGAAAAGAGAAAACAAAAGUGUAGGAGUUAAAAUGAAAAAAGAAGAAGAAGAAGAAGAAGAGGAACUGUGUCGUUUUUUUAUUUUUUAAUUAUCCAACUAUGAACAUUUGUAAAAUGGUCACUUAAUUAUUAAUAUAUUUUUUUAAUCACCCAAUUAUCAAAAAUUACAAAAUAAUCACUUAACUAUUCAAUUAUAUUUUUUUGUCAUUUAAUUUUCUUAGAUUUUUAAAUAUUUCUAUUUUUUAUGUUAAUAAAUUGAUGACCAAUACAGGCAAAAUUGAAUUAAAUUUCCAUCCCAUGGUACUUGAUGUUUGUCCAUUUACAGCUCUUGCCAAGAAACUUACCUCCAAAACCUCCAACCUCCAAGGAUCUUUGUGGGCGAUGAUGUGAGCUCUAAGGGGGGUUAGCAUCAAAGGAGUUAAGGAUGCAUGGGUAAAGCUCAUUUAUCAUUUUUAUGGCUCCAUUAAAUUUCUUGAAAAUAAGCUGAUGUCUUAUAUUUUCUGAUAAUGUAUAGGGUGUAAGUGAAGAAUGUGUAAAAAUUUGUUAUCCCUUAGCAUUUGAGAUUAUUCGUCUGGAGCUAUUGAAAAAAUAAAGAUAAGAUAAAAGUAAGCAGAAAUAAAUUUAUUCGAAGAGAGAAGAGGGAAUCGAACCACACCGCUCUAGCAAAUUCAUAAUGCAUGAAAAGGUGUUCUAAGGACUUGGAGCUAUUCUAGCAAAUUGGACAGCAAUUAUUUGUUUUGAUGUUCCGUUGUUGGAGAGUAUCCUUCAUUGGGAGAUCGUAUUGGAAAAUAAUCACUUUAAAGGGGAAUUUUAAUCUCCAAAACUUGUUCCCUACUUUAUUGUUAAGAGUCAUGAAGAGAGUGGCUUUGAUAUUGAGAGCAUCAAAGAUGUGUAUAGGCAUUUUUUACAUAGAAAACGCCAUUAUGAUUGUUUCGCCAAACAAUUCCAUCACUACCACCUUGGAAGGAUAUUGGUCUAUUAAGGAGAUCAUUAACAUGCUAAUUAAAAAUCAUUGAGUUAGAGAAUAGUGAUUAAGUUCAUACCUUAUAUAUAGUAUAAUACUAAUGGCAAAAUUAGAUCAAGUCAACUGUAAGCGCCAAACCAUGCAAGUUUUUUUUUUUUAAGUUACUACAAAAACAUAUUAAGGAUAAAUUAUAUUUAAUAUCACUAAACUAUUAAUAAAUAUAGUAAAACUACAAAUAAGAACAUAUAUUUUUUUAAUAAUAAUAAAAGGAAACCCACCAUUUUUGGUUUUCUUUUUGGUCUUUUUGAAGAAUUUAUUGGUUAAUAAUAUUAAAUUCUUGCAGGUCGGGAGCCAAAUAAACGAGCUUUUAUUUUUCUGUUAAAUUCUUCUAUUAGUCCCUAUACUUUAAAAAAGUUAUGAAUUUAGUCUUUAUACUUUAAUUGGAUCAAUUUUAGUCCCUAUACUUUUUUAUUUUUGAAAUUCUAAUACUGACCCAAAGAGUAAGAGUUAAAUCUGCCUGGUUAAAUCUAAUUGCUAGUCAUGUACUAGCGUAUAGCUAUAGAUUUAAUUUAUAUUCUCCAAUUAGAUUAUUUUAAGACACUAUAUAUUUUUUUAAUUUUAAAAUUUUAGUCUUACCACAAAUGACAAGCGUCAAUCCAUUAACUACAUUUUUAGAGAGUAAUAUGUGAAAAUAAUAAACUGACAUUACACAUAUAAUAAUAUGUUUACCGCGUCAAAUUUUAGAAAUAAAUAUAAAUUAACUUAAUGUAUUUAACAGUUAUCAUUUGAUGAUGACUGAAGUUUUAAAAUUUGAAAAGUAGAGUGACUAAAAAAAACCAAAUUAUAGAGACUAAAUCCAAAACUUUCAUAAAUUACAGGGACUAAUAACAGAAUUUAACCUUUUUCAUUUCUGGAUAAUUGAUUUCACUUUACUAUUCUCGUGAAUAUUAAAUUUGCUGUGUUUUUUCUUUCCUCUCUUCCAUCAGUCAAACCUCACACAUAUUUUUUUGCCACCGACAAGACUCCGAGGAUCUUGAGGUUUGGCAAGAAAAUCCCUUUUUUUCCCUAAAUUUCGUGUCUUUUUUUUUCUUGUUAAUUAACGAAUUGAUGCUUAUAUUUUCAACUGUAAAAUGAAUCAAAUUUGCUGUGUAUAAACCAUUUCUGGGUUUUUACUUAUUUUGAUUAUGGAAUUACUCAAUGGGUUCAAAAACCCAUUUCGUAGUGAAUAUAAAAGAUGGGUUUUUUUAGUUGGAUUAGUAGCUAUAAGUCAUUUAUUGUUUCAGUCCUUUUUGCUUCCAUAUGGUAAUGCUCUUAGAUCUUUAUUAUUGCCUGGUAUUGAUGAUUCAAUUGAGGGUAAUUAUGGAAAUGUUGUUUCUCGGGUUCGAUCGGGUUCAAAAUCGGUUGUAGUUCGUAAUACUCUUACUAUUAAUGGUUCUGAUUUUAGUACUAGGGAUGUUAUUUUGUUUAAUGGUGGUAAUGGCGGUGGAGAUGUUGGAAUCAGUAGUCGAAAAAUCGGGGAUUGGGUGGAAAAGGGUGUGAGUAAAGUCAUUUUCGAUGGAAAUGUUGACGAUGAUUACGCGUCCGAGAAUGGUGAGGAUUUAAACGAGAAUGCUGUGUUGGAAGAGGUCAUUCGAGAUCAAGAUAAUUAUGUAAAUGCUACAUCGCGUAUAGAGCAGGUCGCGAAACAUGGGCGGGAAGUGUCUACCGGUGAACUUCGGGAUGUAAAUACUACUUCUCAGUAUCCAGCAUUGUCUUCGAUGGCAAACCCGACCCCGAAUGCUGGCUCUUCUUUCCGUUCCACGUCCCUGCAAAGUGAUCAUACAGUAUCUAAGAGUAAUUCUUUGAUGGUUGUUAAACAGGGGAAGAAAAAGAUGAGAUGUGAAAUGCCACCAAAAACAGUAACUACGAUAGAUGAGAUGAACCGUAUAUUACUACGGCAUCGUAGGUCGUCACGUGCAAUGGUAAUCUGUAAUACUAUACUUAUUUGCUUUAUAUACCUAACGUAAAUUAAACUCAUUUUAUUGUGUUAUUGUAGAGACCACGUCGUUCUUCUAUACGUGACCAAGAAAUCUUUGCCGCAAAAUCUCGGAUUGAGAAUGGUCCUGUCAUAACAAACGAUCAAGAUCUUUAUGCUCCCAUUUUUAGGAAUGUUUCAUUGUUUAAAAGGUAAGUUCAAGAACAUCCAUUUGUCUAUGAACUGUUGACCUUAUUCUCAAAUGAUGGUUUGUACGCUGUAGGAGCUACGAACUUAUGGAACGAAUACUCAAAGUUUACGUCUAUAAAGAUGGGAAAAAACCCAUUUUUCAUUUACCAAUACUUAAGGGAUUAUAUGCGUCGGAGGGAUGGUUUAUGAAAUUGAUGCAAGGGAAUAAGCAUUUCGUUGUGAAGGAUCCACGUAGGGCGCAUUUGUUUUAUAUGCCGUUUAGUUCUCGAAUGUUGGAGUACACGCUUUAUGUUCGGAAUUCUCAUAACCGGACUAACUUACGCCAGUUUUUGAAGGAUUACACGGAAACUAUAUCGGCAAAGUAUCCUUACUUUAAUCGAACCGAUGGAGCAGAUCAUUUCCUCGUUUCUUGCCAUGAUUGGGUAUGUUCUUUGAUUCAAGCACUGUUGUAUUUUUUCGGGUUUGUAAUUGGAAUAUAAUUACUGAAUUUUUAUAGGCUCCAUACGAAACGAGGCACCAUAUGGAACACUGCAUCAAAGCACUUUGCAAUGCGGACGUCACUGCGGGUUUCAAAAUCGGGAGGGAUGUUUCUCUUCCGGAAACAUAUGUCCGGUCGGCAAGGAAUCCUCUUAGAGAUCUCGGAGGAAAACCGGCUUCUCAGAGACAUAUACUUGCUUUCUAUGCCGGAAGCAUGCACGGGUAUCUCCGUCCGAUCUUACUAAAACAUUGGAAAGACAAAGACGCCGAUAUGAGGAUCCUCGGUCCGAUGCCUCCUGGUGUUGCGAGUAAAAUGAAUUAUAUCCAACACAUGAAGAGCACUAAGUACUGUAUAUGUCCCAAAGGUUACGAGGUUAACAGUCCACGAGUAGUUGAAUCCAUCUUUUAUGAAUGCGUCCCCGUUAUCAUCUCCGACAAUUUCGUGCCACCAUUUUUCGAAGUUCUCGAUUGGGGAGCUUUCUCGAUAAUACUUGCGGAGAAAGACAUCCCUAACUUGAAAGACAUACUUACGUCAAUACCGCAAGAGAGGUAUCUCGCGUUGCAACUCGGUGUUCGAAAGGUUCAACGGCAUUUCCUAUGGCACGCGAAACCUGAGAGGUACGAUCUCUUCCAUAUGACACUUCAUUCCAUUUGGUAUAACAGAGUCUACCAGAUAAAACUUAGGUAGUAGUAACAUUAAUGGUCAUUCCAAAUGUGAAUAUACUUUUUUUAUCCGUUUUAUGGUCCAUGUUCGGGUUGCGUAGUUUUCACGUCUUUGGGGCUUUUUUUUGGAUUUGUAUAUAUAUAAACUAAUGAUAUUUUUCAGUGAUUCUUAUAUUUGGUUUGUAAUUUUGUUUUAAUCUUGAGAGUUAGUUUUGUUUGCCUACUCAAUUAAUCGAUUUAAUUGACCAAAUCGGUCGAUGUUAAGUUGGUUUGGUUGAAUCGAUUAAUGCUUAUGCAUGUGGUUAGUUACAGUUGAAAGUUAAGUGGUUAAGUCCGGUUAUGCAUGAAAUAUCAGCCGAACUGUCUGAUUUAAACCAAUUGCUCACACUUAUCGAUCCUAUUUCGUCCAUUAAAAAUAUAUAUAUCUAUAAUUAUUAAUAAGUGGUUGGAUGUAAUAGCAAGACACAUUACACUCCCAAGAGGAGGACAUAGAUUCGAAUCUUGGGAUGACAUUGUUGAGAGGUAGACCGUAAAACAGACAUGAAUAAUACAAAAUAUAUAUAUCAAUAAGCGAAGGUAAAAGUACUAUAAAAGUCAUUGUGUUAAGAGUUAAAUUGCAUUUUGCCUAGCACGGUUGGCACAAGUUUUUUAGGUGGGGGAUAAUUUUGGUUUUAACGUGGGUCAAGUAUUUUUUAUUUUGUCACUCAAGUUGGAUUUCGAAAGUAGGAAAGGACUAAAUUGAGUGAAGGUCGACUGGAUGGCCCAUUUGCCAACCAAACAAAAUAGCUUCAGUUUUCUUGCACGGAACUGAACUGAAUCCAGACCACUUGGAAAAAAACAAUGAUUAAUGUAAGAAACAAGCGUGAAAGACUUCUUUUCAGCUUUUCUGCUUUGUUUUUUGAGAGGGAAAAUUCUAAACGAAGUUUUUAUCCGCUUCGAUGUUAUAUAAAAUAUUAUAAUAAUUAUAAUAAUAUUUUUUAACUAAUUAUUGUUUGACAAUUUUAGCUUAUUUAAAAACAUCAUAAUCGUAAUAAUUUAUAUAUUUUUAAAAUUUUCAUUUUCCAUGGAGGAACUGUUAAAUGGCAUUUGUCCACCAAGCUUAGCUAAGAGUUUGUUCCCAUCAUGUCACGUGUCUGUCCCUAAACAGAACACCCCAAUGACAAAUCUCUCCACACGUGUUGUCCCUCCAAUGCCAGUUUUUACAGUUAUGUCGGUUAAUUUUAAGUAAUUUUCUUUUACCUAUUUAAAUCUAAGGGCCUAAUGCUGCUUUUACUCCUUAUAUUGUGUUAAAAGUUAUAAUUUAAUCCCUUUUACUUUAAUUUUUAUAUAAUUUAAUCUUCUAUUUUUAUAUUGCCAAUUAAAAGUAUUAUCUAUUUAGACUUACUAAUAAAAUUACAAAAAUUAUUUUUAUAAAUAAACAAUCAAGUUAUGUACUAUUAAUUAAUGAUAUUGUUAACAAAUUUAUGAAAAUCAACCUCAUCACUUUAAAAUAAAGGAUUAAAUUCCAAAUUUGCAGAAUAAUAGAAGGACUAAAACUAAAAUUAAACCAAAUUUUAAGUGUUCCUAAUUUUUCGACAGACAAGCAUGUCUAGUGUCUACGUAGCCGUUGUCAUAAUAAUUUCCUCUCCCUUUUAAUUUUUUUUCAUUCAAAGCAAUGGAAAUAUCAUCAGAAAAAUGUAAUCAAAAUUGGGUAUUUUAUAAUUAGGGUAAGACCAAAAAAAUACAAUGAAAAAACAAAAAGUAGAUAACGCUAUUAUCUUCAUUCAGCUGACGAAGCCAUACAUACACUUUAUUUCUUCUUUUUUUACGAAAAGAAAGGAAAAAAAUUUCUCAGUGAACAGAACACUUUUGCAGUGCUCUUUGCUUGAGAAUUGGGUAAUCUAAAUUUCUAUCCUUCUUUUUAUAAAUUUAGGUUUUGAAAGCUUUCAUUUUUUAAAACAAAUUCUGGGUUUUUCCUUCUUCAGUGGUUAGUUUAUCUCUUUAAUGUCUUUUAUUUUCUAUCUUCGGUUUGGUUACUGAGAAAAUGUGUCAUUCUUUUGUUUUUAAAUUGGAUUUUAUGUUUGGAUCAGGCAGUGGUUGAAAAGAAUUUAAUGGGAGAUUUACACAACAAUGGAGGAUUUGCUGAAAACCAGUUAUCUGUAAGUAUUGGUUCAGACCAUUCUGAUUUGUUUCUGUCUUAAUUACAUCAUAUUGUGUUUCUUUCAUUGCAUUAUUUAAACCCGAACCCGAAAAAAUCCGAUUCUGAUAACUUGAUUUAAUCUUAUUUGAUCAUAAAAAUACAUUGACUUGAGAAAUACUGAAUGCCAAAUGACCCGAACUUGAAAUGAUUCGGAAAUCUUAAAACCGAAUUGACCCGAUCCGAUUCUUGUUAUCAGGUCCAUCAUGGUAGUCUUCUGGAUUUUCUCUUAUUUUCCUCACCAAUGGAUGAUAUUUUCACAUGUAUUCUAUCUUGGACAUCUUAUUUACGUCGCCGAUUCAUCGAUUUUGUUGGUGAGUUCUUCGGUUUUUGGUGCGUGCGUACGUAGGUAUGCAUGUAUGAUGUAUGUAUGUGUGUUUAGACAUUAAUAUGUGUCUGCAGAGAAUCUUGUCGUCCAAGAUGUUUACAGAAGCAAAGGUUCUGUUUCUGUGUCUUCGACAUCUUACACGGAAUAUUUUAACUCCGGAACUUGCCAAACUUCGUCGGGCCAGGGGAAAGAAUUUCUCGCAAAUACAGACUCCGGAAUCGUAAAUACCAAUCGCUCUAUGCAACUAAGACAAGCGGUUCCUUUCAUCUUUCAAGGGUAAUGUAUCGAUACAAUGGUUGAUUUUCAAGUUUCAAUAGCUGUACCUUGAAUGUAUUCUGCUAAUAGAGCUAUGAUGGUAAUGUUUCAUAGCAAUGCGUUUGUAUUCCGUUUUUGUUUUUAUCAUUUACCCUAUUUGCAGUUGCUUCUACCGGGUUGUAGGUUGGCAUUCCCGUUUUUAGCUUUGCGGCUUGCUUGGAGUUCGAUCUUGGUGCCGUGGAGGUUCGCUUUCUGCUAUGUGAAACGCACUCAAGCACAAGUCUAUAGGUAAAAAAAGUAGUGUCUUCGAUUUUCUUUUUUCGUGUAAUCGAAUUUAUACUUCAAUAUCUGAAAAUGUAGAACCAGAAGAAAAAGUCUGAAAUCAGCCGGCAAUUGUUUCGGUUUAGGCCAUAGUUCCAAAACAAAACUCUGUUUAUAGGCUUACAAGGAACAUUGGAACAAAAUCGAGCUGCAAUCCCUAAACUCCUCUUCGGGUCAUGGGAAACACAUUGUGGGACCUAAUUCAGCUUCCCGGGGCUAAACCAAAAAGUACUCAAUCCCAGUCCCAUUGCUAUAGAAUACGAUCUUCCUCCUACCCCAACCGCAAAGUCUCAAUCUUUAACUUGACUGAAACUGUUUUGCCUUUAGUAUUUUCUACGUACUUGUCCUCGUACUUUGCUAUGUUUGCUUCUUCAUAAUGAACAUUACCGAUUUUUUAUUUUCAGCAUUAUAUCACGGAUGGAGAGAACGUUACGCGGUUCAUCCGAUGAUAUCGGAUGGUUACAACGCACCCCUGGAAUGGCUCCUGUUGAGGACGGUACAGCAAGAUUCCUUGAACUGCUAGAAGCUAUAAGGUACCGAAUUAAUUCAACUUUUUUUUCUUGAUCUUCUCGAAUAAUAAGAGAUUAUUCCUUGCUAGUUGAACUGAGAUUUUCACGUUUAGGAACGGAGAACACACGUUGCCAAAUUCAUUUGUAUAUCUAUUUGUUCCAGGUAUGAGAAUAUCACGGUAUCCCUUAGUUUCUCGUUUAUCGAUUUCGGAUUCACAAUAGAUUUCUAAUUCUUUGUCAGGCCUUUUUAGCAAUCAUGGUCCCUUAUAUUUUGUUGCCACUAAGAAAUUCUUUUCGAAAAUGGGUCUCACAUGCCAUAUAGGGAAAAUCCACAGCGAGGUAAUUACGAGUUGCUUAUCAUAAGAAAACUAUUGUUUUUGUGUUAUUGAGUUUGAGUUUUUAUUGCUUUGUCAUACAAAGGCAUCGGUGGAACAUAACGCGUGGGAGUUGAAGCAAUACAUUGAGGAGCUUUAUUGGGGGUCGGGUAAACGUGUAAUGCUGCUCGGUCAUAGCAAAGGUGGAGUUGAUUCGGCCGCAGCGUUAUCAAUUUAUUGGUCCGAGCUAGAGCAUAAAGUUGCUGGGUUGGCGCUGGUCCAGAGUCCGUAUGGUGGUAGCCCUAUAGCUUCUGAUACUCUUCGUGAAGGCCAAAUAGCUGAUAAAGAAACUCGAAGGAUCUUCGAGCUUUUGAUAUGCAAGACGAUUAAGGUACUUUCCUUUCCUUUUCCGAUAAAUAAAUUCCCGAGGUUUUCGAGUCUAACAUUGUAAUCAAGGGCGUAGAUAAGGGCAGGGGCUAAAAGUUAAAAUUUUAAAUGCAAUUUCACCAUAAACUAAUUUAUAUAAUUUUUACCAUAGCAAAGAUGCAAUUUACAAUUAAAUGAAAAAAAUCAAAGGUUUAUCAUUUUUUGGGGGCCAAAGUGCAAUUUUAUCAUAUACUAAUUUAAAAUUUUAUAAAUUGUAAAGGAGCUAAAAGUUAAAUUUUCCAUUUUAGGGGACCAGGCCCCGCCCCCCUAUCCAGGGGCAGGGGCAGGCAGUGGCCUUAGCUCCCAAAAAUGGUAAAUAUGCCUUUUAGUCCCUUUGAAGUUUAUGAAAUUACAAAUUAGUAUAAUGGCAAAAUUAUAUUUUGGCCUCCAAAAAUUUAUGAUUCCAUCUCUAGCUUCCCAAAAGCAAUUUUCUGGUUUCUCCCCUGCUUAUAAUUCGAAUAUCUAUGUUGCAGGGUGACAUGCGAGCAUUGGAAGAUCUUACUUACGAAAAGAGAAGAGUUCAUCAUGAAGCAUAAGUUACCCGAGGGAGUCCCUCUUAUCUCGUUUAGCUCGGAAGCAAAAGUGGCUCCCGGUGUACUAGCUACCAUGACACAAAUAGCUCAUGCUGAGCUUCCCCGGCUUCCCUUUCUAAAGUUCAGGAAUUCGGAGUUCGACGGUGUCAGUCAACUUGGACACCAAGUGCCUAUCGUAAUUCCGGUUUCCGCUGCCAUGGCCUUAUGUGCUCUUCACUUGCUGCUUAGAUACGGGGAGAAGAGUGAUGGACUCGUGACGUGCCGUGAUGCCGAAGUUCCGGGUUCGGUCAUAGUGAGGCCCGAGCAGAAGCUCGACCACGCUUGGAUGGUGUACUCUUCGAAGAAGAAAAAUCCAAACGAGCCAGACGCUACGGAAAUGUGUGAGGCUAUUUUGACCUUACUAGUAGAGCUUGGGAAAAGGAAGCAAGAAGAAAUAGAGAAGUCUUAAAAAGUAAUUUCAUUACAAACUUUGUUAAAUUUGUUGGGAUUUAAUUAACUUAAUGAACAUAUUUGAAUCCUCAAAUUGCAAAAUUUUAUUUAAUUUUCGUAUUUUAAUUUGACAUAAUUCGUUUUCUUUAUUUUUGUAAUGUCCCUUCUAACAUAAAAAUAUCUUUUAUCCAAGUAGAAUGAUCAAAUUAUGUCGAUUUAAUUAUCAUUCAGUUUAUUUUUACUUUUAAUUUUAGAAAUCUAAUUUCUCUGCUCUUUUAGGUUAAUAAUUAAAUUUCAAUUAAUAAUAUCGUAAAAAGGAUUAUGUUAAAUUGGAGAUAAUUCAAUUUAAAGGAAUUUUUUUAGUGUUAUCAAUUGUUACUUCAAUUUUGUAUUAAAAAGGGCAAAUAAUCAAAAAAGGCCGGUUUUUUUCAAAAUUUACCGAAAUGGGCCGGUUUUUUAAUUAUUUAUCGGAAUGGGCCAUUUUCCGCGAAAUCGCGUCCACGUCAGCGCGAUGUCAGGGUACGCGCAGGAAAUCGCGUCCACAUCAGCGCGAUUUGAUGACGUGGAAGGAAAUCGCUCCCUCUAGGACGCGAUUUGCUGACGUGGCAUGAACAGUGUGUUUUUAGCUUGGAAAACUUUGAAAGGCCAUAACUUUUGGCUCGGUUGUCCGAUUGAGACGAAUUUUUUUUUGAUUUCGAAUAAAUUUUCGAGAUCUACGCGCUGGCAAACAGCCGAAGGCGGUUUGAUGAAGUUUUCAUCGAAAAAGAUCCUUUUUUGCCCCUAAAUUUUGAUUUUUUCGGUUUCAUUAAAAUUGAAUUUUGAAACAUUCAAAUCGUUAUUUUCCUCAUUUAUUUGAAGUAAACACCGGAUCUUUUUUUACAGAAUUGUCUUAUAUCAUCCUGUUAUAGGUAUAAGUCAGCUCAUUCCACUUUUGAGAAGUUCCCUAAAAUUUUCCAUUUUAUUCAAUUUAGUCCCUAAAACCUAAAUAGUCAUAUUUUCAAAUCUAAGCUUCGUUUUUCAAUUGAAAUUCAACUUCAUCCUUCCAUAACAUUCAAAUAUUCUUAAAUACAAAAAUUUCGUGCUAAUUUUGAAAUAAUUACACUUUAGUCCCUAUACUCGUAACUAACAAAUUAUACUUUACAAAUUAGUACCUAUUCAUCUCUAAGCAGUUUUCCAGCACGUAGAUCUCGAAAAGUUAUUCGAAAUCAAAAAAAAAUUUGUCUCAAUCGGACAACCGAGCCAAAAGUUAUGGCCUUUCAAAGUUUUCCAAGCUAAAAACACUAUGUUCAUGCCACGUCAGCAAAUCGCGUCCUAGAGGGCGCGAUUUCCUUCCACGUCAGCAAAUCGUGCUGACGUGGAUGCGAUUUCCUGCGCGUACCCUGACAUCGCGCUGACGUGGACGCGAUUUCGCGGAAAAUGGCCCAUUCCGGUAAAUAAUUAAAAAAUCGGCCCAUUUCGGUAAAUUUUAAAAAAAACGGCCUUUUUUGGUUAUUUGCCCUAUUAAAAAAUAGGAUUGAAUUGCCGGGACUAAAAGUGGAGGAAUUAAACUUUAAAUAUACAAAUAUUAAAGGGAUUGGGAGUACAAUCAGACCAAUUAUGCCAAAUUAAAGUACAAUAUGACUAUUUCAAAUCAGAUCAUAGUCGAGGUGCCAAAAAUCAGAAUUUGACCUAAAUCAAAUCUAGAGUAUUGCUGACAAACUUGCUUCAACGAAAAUAGUACUAUUUACCAUGGGCCACAAAAAAGGGGGCAGGCAGGGCUUG
rnacentral:lncRNA from 1 species